rnacentral:lncRNA from 1 species
AAAAUGUAUGAGAUUUCUCUUGGAGUGGCUCAAGGGAUUGAAUAUCUACAUCGAGGUUGUGACGUGCAAAUUCUACAUUUUGACAUCAAGCCUCACAAUAUUCUUCUGGAUGAGAAUUUCAUCCCAAAGAUUUCUGACUUUGGGCUUGCAAAGCUAUAUCCGGUAGGUAAUACCAUCGUCUCUUUGACGGCAGCAAGGGGAACAAUGGGAUACAUGGCUCCUGAGUUGUUUUACAAAAAUAUUGGAGCUGUCUCAUACAAAGCUGAUGUCUAUAGUUUUGGAAUGUUGUUGAUGGAAAUGGCAAGUAGAAGGAAGAAUUUGAACGCAUCCACAGAGCAUUCAAGCCAAAUUUAUUUUCCUCGUUGGGUCUCAGACCAAUUUUGCAUGGGCAAGGAGUUUGAGUUGGAUGAUGCUACAGAAGAGGAAAAGAAAAUAAUAAAAAAGAUGAUUAUAACUUCUUUAUGGUGUAUACAAUUGAAGCCAAGCGAUCGUCCUUCGAUGAACAAAGUUAUAGAGAUGCUUGAGGGAGAGGUUGAAUGCUUGCAGCUUCCUCCCAAGCUUCUUUUAUAUCCACAACAAGAGAUGCCCAGAGACAAUCUUCAUGGUAAUUCGAAUCCAAUGUGUUCUAACACAGAGCUAACAUGUAGUACUUUGUCAGCUAGGUGAUGAGUAGGACUGAAUUAGAGUUUUAACUUUAAUUUCAGUUUUAUUAUUAUUUAAGCUAAUAAGGGAAAUAUAUGAGUUCAAGUUGCAUAUAUACAUUAAAAAUACGUUUUUAUUUUGAACAAAUACUUGUGUGGUUUUGCUCCGCUGCCACCACAAGCAUCACCAUCGUUGUCACAAUCACUACCACCACCAUUGAGUCAUAUCUCAUAUAUUUUUUUUUGUUUUUUUUUUUUUGUUUUUUGAAAAUGCUAAGGAGACCACCUUUAGCAAAAAAAUUACAUGUAACGGGGGAUAGCAAUAUUUUGCUAUUCCCAAUAAAUAACACAAUGACCCAUGGAAAGGUUAUCAUAUGUGUCAUUGCGUUAUUGGUUGGGGAUAGCAAAAAGUGUUAUCCCAUUACGUGAGAGUUUCCCCUCCAUCUUUAGAGCAUCCACAAUCAUGCUCCCUAUUUUUUAGUUAAAUUUUAGCUAAAAGCAUAUAAAAGUUAUUUUAGGAGCUCUCUACAAAAUUUAAAUUCCAAUUAUGCUCUCUAGUUUAGGGAGUCAUAAAUGCUAUAAUUCUUUUUUAAUCGAUCUCUAUUAAAAAAAAAAUUAACAUUAAUUAAAGGUUUGAAAUACUCAUUAAAUAAAGCACCAUUAAAUUAUAAGGAGCCACUAGGAGUGCUUUCUCUCUCCUCAGAUUUAGGAGCUCCUAGAGGUCUCUCUAUUUUAGGGGAGGUGGAUAUGGAGCAUGGUUGGAGUUGUAUUUUUCCAAAUCCCCCCUAAAAUUUGUCUAAUGAGGUUGUUUAGGGAGUUCAUUGUGGAUGAUCUUAGAGACCAACUUGUGUACCAUCUCUCUAAUAGAGAUGGGAUCUAUGGUAUUAGUGGGCUCCACCUCCAUUAAAGCAAAAAAACUUAUAUGUAAUGGGGAUAGCAUGUGUAUUAAAAAGAUGGUACACAAGUUGAUGAUGUCAUCUUAGCAUGAUCACAUGGAAGAAAGUCAUUAGCAAUAUGCAAAAGAAAAAGAUGAUCAGGAAAUGCUCGAGGCCAAUAAGUAGUGACAAUAAAGCGCCACACAAAAUGCAAAGGGCAGCAAUAUAAAUGCAAAGUAGUUGCUUCAGUGAAUUGAAGGAUUGUCUUAAAAUCUCUUGGCAGAUCCUUAUGUGCCUUUCUGGUAAUAGCAAUUGGAGUUUCUCUUGUUCCCCUGCUAUUCAUUGUCACAUAACUUUCUUCAAGUGUGCAAAGGUAGUGAACUGUGAGAGUCGUAUUUAAAAAUUUUAAAAAAAAAUGUUUAUUAAAGAGGAAUAAAUAUUAUUAUAUAUAUUAAUAAGUAAUUAUCUUGGAUAUAUAUAUAUAUAUUGUUUUACGUUUAUACUACUAUUCCAGUAACCCACCAGUACAUGUCUUCAUGAUAUCCAUUCUCAUCUUGUAAUGACUUGGAGUGGAAGAAAAAUUACUUGGGCACCAAGAUUAAAACGUGCUGACUAUUUAAAAGUUUAGUGAUAAAAUAUUUAUUCUAGUAUAAAUAGGGAGCUUAUAUUUACAAUUUGUUUACUACUACAUCUAGAGAUAACAUGCACACAACAUGAUAGUUGUUUGAGAGGACUAAAGAGAGAUGCAAGGAAAAUAUGAUAUUGCAUGAGACAGAGAACUUUGCUUGUGUUUUACUAAAUUGGAUUUAUGCUUUGAAAUCGAGGUAGGGGUUUCUUGGGGGGGCUUUUACGGGGAUUGAUUUAAUUAAAUUUCAUAAGCACUAUAUUAUGCAUAAUAUUAUAAUUUGAUGGAUGUUCUUGAUAUUGGGUGUUUACGUGUUGUUAAUUAUUUAAUUAAUGUUGGCAUAACUUGACAGGACCCGAUCCAAAUUCCGCUUUAGAAUCCGAGCCGAACCUUGUACGUGUCCGACAACUACAGGGUAAUCAUUUAAAUAUGUACAUUAGUGAUAUUUAAAUGAUUACAUUGUUUUUGUGAGAUAUGUGAAAAGAAGAACUAUAUCAUGUUGGAAAUUAUUUGGAGUUCUUGGGUUGAGAAAAUAAUGGUGGAAAAGAGGGUAAUGAGAAUGAUCUUUUGUGUAGUAGAAUCUAACUCUUGGUAGGUACCAGAUCUCAAGGAUCCCACAGUGCACAUGAUUUUUAUUGGGUGAUGCGGGACUGGCGACAGGGAGUUAGACAAAAUGACUAACAAAAGGGGAAUUAUGGAAUGGUUGAAAUGAGUGUUAGUUCAUAUAAAUGGGACAUUCAGGACCAAGUGGUAUAAGCAUGGUAUAGGGUGUGCAAGUCUGCUUGUCUAGUUAUAUGAAUUAACGGGAGUAGAUGAAGAGCAUUAAUGCAUUAAUAUUAUUAAUGUGAUAUAUUUGGCUGUGUAAUUGCAUGUCACUUAAUUUAGUUAUAUCAAUCUACUGUGGUAAGGUCUCAUGUCCCCACUGAGCGACACCGACACUCUUUCUCUUCUGUUCUCUCUGCACCGGCCACGGCAAGGCACGCCACCGGUCCCAAUCGAUUCACCUCGACGUCCCGAUCAAGUCUAGCCGGUUUCCCCGUCGGAAAUCACGAACUCCGGCCACGAGCUCGACUGUUUUGAACUGGAGCUUUCCCGUCGUCGCGCCACCGCCUCUGCCGCCCAAACUCGGUGACUGAGGUAUGGUUUCUCAUCCAUUUUCCGAGUUCUAGCUGACUGUGGUAUAGGUUUGGACCGAUUCGUUGUCUAGAAAAUCGAUUAGAAAACCUAGGUUUUGGCCGGAUUUCAGAGUGAAAUUUCGGCCAGUUGCCGCCCGAAUUAGACCUUCCCGUAGUUGAAUAAAGUGAUCCUGACCUUAAGUAGAAGCUAAGUUAGGAAGGGUGAGCUCGGGUGUGGAGUUUUUCCGUCACCGGAAUUUACUCUACACACCCACGCGUUGCCGGCGCAUAUGGCGGCUCAUGGGCGAGGCUGGUGAAGCUGAAAUUUAACCCGAUUAGAUCCUUAAGUUGUCACGAGCGCAUAGGAAUUCCCGGAUCUCAAUUCGGAUGUUGUUUGACUAUCAAACGGAUUUUCGCAAUUUGUGCGUUAUCCGGGUUCGAUAGGUUCCGACCGUUAGAUCUUUUCCAAAUUAAAAUAUGUUGUUCUAGGUAUUCCUAGGACCGUAUGGGACUUCACGGAUUAUGAAUCGGAGCCCAGGAUGUUCCAAUUCAAUAAUGCAAAGUUUGUGGGUUAGCGAUAACCGUACAAUCGUGAACGAUUCAUAAACCUGUAAUCGGACCUUAGGAUAUCUUCUUCAACGUGCACGUAUUGGGAAUUUGGGGAUUUACGCAUUUAAUUUGUGAUUUCCGCUUCGACGUAAUUUUAUAUUAAUUAACGGUUCGUAUCUCGAAAUAGGUGUUUCGACUGCACGUACUCAGCAGGCAGGACCCUCACGUGGUCAGGAGCGUGGGAAUAUUUGUGAGUGGACUUUGUUUUCAAUCAUAUGCAUGGUUUUAUUGAUGAAAGAUUUUUGCAUAAUGUUUUAAUGGCUUAUUGACUAUAUUAUAUUCAUGAGUUGAAUAUGAUGUUUGUAUAGCGCUUGGCAAUAUAUUGUGAGUUUGGCAUUGUGGGUAUUGAGAGUGCAUUUUAUAAGGAAUUUGGGGAAGUAUCUGUAUAUAUGUAUAUUCUCUAUAGGCGGGAUAUUUGGGUUGUUGAAGUGUGUUGUGGAAGAACUUGAUUAUGAGGGGUUGUUGAGAGAAGUUGUAUGAUUACACUAUUAGACUUUCCACACGCGGCGUUGGAUGUUCCGGCUUGUGGAAAGAAUAGGUUAUCAGUCUCACUCGAAGCGUUGGAUGUUCCGGCAUGUGAGACACUUUCCAUAUGCGGCGUUGGAUGUUCCGGCGUAUGGAAAGACUCUGUAUAGUGUUUAGGGGCAUCACCAUGGCGUUGGAUGUUCCGGUGUGUGAUGAUCCAGUCUGCGCGCGUAGGACAUAGUUUGGGAGCUACACAUGGCGUUGGAUGUUUCGGUGUGGGAGCUUUGGAGUUUCGUCCCCCGGUUGGACCGCUCAUCCCUAGACGCAGGAUAUCACCUAGAAAUCCUGCGGACUAGUCAAACGAUCCCCCAGUUGGAUUGUUUCCUCGGUACCCAGGUAGUGUGAUGAGUAUAUCGUAUAGUUAUGUAUAGUUAUAUAUAUAUAUGUAUAUGUAUAGUUGAGUGAGUGAAAAUUUGAGUUUUUCAGUGGGUUGACAGGAGUUGUAAGAUUGAGAGAAUGGGGUUGAUGAAGGAGAUGAUUUGUAUUUUGAAGAGUUUUUAAUGAAUCAUGUUUUGAGUAAUUAAAUAUUGAAUUGUGAACCUGCAUGACUUGAGGAUUAUUUUUACAUGGUGGGGUUACUAUAUUGUUUUUAACUACAAAUUUGGUUUUUUUCCACUCACAUGUUUUCUAUUUUGCGCCCCCCCAGCCAGUAGUCGCUCCAAGAAGCGUGCAAAUGGUGUACGAGGCUCGAACUGUGAAUCUUCCUAGUUAGGGUUUGAGUAAUUUCUUCUACUCAACUGUUCUUGUAAUCUAAAUUCAGUAGAUGCUCUGUUAUUGCCCAUGGUAGAUUUUACUUGUGAGGCCAGAGGCCAUUUUAGUAUGACUUGUUGAAUUAUGAAAGCAUGCUGCUGGUUGGGAUUUUAUUUUAUGUAUGUUACAGGUUGAAAAUUUUUGUUGGGUUUGCUUAAAUUACAGGGGAGACUCUGCCAAAAUUUUGGUAGAAAGUCUCGGUUUCUUAAUAAGUGGGCCCGACAUCGGGAAGAUGUCGGAACAAAGAUGGGGUCCGCUUCGAUUUCUGGGAAAUUCUGGGGCGGGUCCUGUCAGCUUGGUAUCAGAGCAUUAGGUUCAUUUUCCUUCGACUAUUGCACUUUUGUUGCAUUGUUGAUCUAAUGAUUUUAUGAUUUCUUUGUGUAGAAUCAUGUCAGCUCGCAGAGCUAGAACAAGAGGUCGCGGUCAGAGAUGGGGCCGAAUCCUCCACCUCCAUCUCCAUCACCCCCUCCUUCACCACCAGUACCUUCGCCUCUACCAUCUCCACCUGCUGGAGAUAAUGCUUUGGAUAUGAGGCAUGUGCUCAACCAGUUUACUCCACAAUGGCUACAGCUUCACGGGGAAGGCGCGGUACAUAAAGUUCGGAAAUUAAGAGAGUUAAGGAACUUGGAGCAAAAGAAUUUGUGGGUAGUACAGACCCAGCAGAAGCAAAAUCAUGGAUUACUGAUAUGGAAAGAAUUUUUGAGGUUCUGGAAUGCCCAGCUGAGGAUAGAGUCCGUUUGGCUACCUUUCUACUCAAGGGCAAUGCUUAUCAUUGGUGGAAAGCAGUAAAGAGGGGUUAUGAAAAUCAGGCUGCUAUAAACUGGGAAGAAUUUCAGCGAGUCUUUUCAGAGCAGUUUUACCCACCUUCUUAUAGACAUGCAAAGAAGUCAGAGUUUCUCUACCUGAAACAGGGGUCUAUGUCAGUAAUGGAGUAUGAACACAAGUUUAAUGAGUUGUCAAGAUUUGCUCCAGAGCUGGUUGCCACAGAGGAGGACAGGUGUAGACGAUUUGAGGAAGGUUUAUGGUGAGAAAUUCAGGCAGUGGUUACUGCUAAUACUUAUCCAAAUAUGAGGGCAUUGGCUCAGGCAGCUGAAAUGAUGUCAAGGAAACUCGGUGGGAGUGUUGGUAGGCGCCGUAGGGAUACACCAGGAAUUGGUGGGCCCAGUCAGGGUCCAUCAAAGAGGGGAGGAUCUAGUUCCAGUUCUGCUAGUGGUGGAUGGUCAGGAGGACGAGGAUCUAGUUCUAGUAGUGGGAGAUCCGGUUCUCAUCCGGCUUGGACUCAGUAUUCAGGGCCACAGUCUACAGCUAGCACCGCCAGGGCUUCUUCCAAGCACACUGGGUUGACAUGUUUUAAUUGUGGACAGGUUGGGCACAUUGUGAAAGAUUGUCCCAGUUAUACCCAGGAAGGUGGACCGAACCAGAGUAGUAGCCUGACAUGCUACUUUUGUGGGCAAGUGGGGCAUACUAAGAGAAGUUGCCCAAUUAUACUCCAGAAUGAUGCAGCAGUUCAGGGAACUGGGGCCUAGCAUGGGCAAGGUAUUAUGGGUCAGAAUCAGAAUCAAGGUGGUGUUUCUUCCUCUGCAGUAGGGUCAUCCAGUAGUAGGGCACCGUCAUCUUCUAGAGGCAAAAGUGGUAGGCAAUCAAGGGGUCAGCCUGGGCGUUCCACUACUCAGGCCCGAGUGUUCUCUAUGACUCAGCAGGAAGCAUAUGCUACAUCGGACGUGAUUACUGGUAUAAUUCCAAUUUUUGGUUAUCUUGCACGUGUUCUAAUUGACCCGGGGGCCACACACUCCUUCGUAGCACACAAUUUCAUACCGUAUAUCAGUAUUAGACCCACACCUAUGACAUGAAGUUUUAGUAUUUCUCUACCUACGGGAAAAGUCUUGUAUGCAGAUCGGGUAUUCAUAAAUUGUUUUGUCUAAGUAGAUGAUGCAUGGUUGGAAGCGAAUUUAAUUCCUUUAGAUUUGGUGGAUUUCGAUAUUAUAUUGGGGAUGGAUUGGCUAGAGAAGCAUCAUGCAUCAGUGGAUUGUUUCCGGAAGGAAGUAACGCUUCGAAGUCCAGGGCAACCUAAAGUUACCUUCCGUGGGGAGCGUAGAGUUCUCCCUACUUGUCUUAUCUCUGCUAUCACAGCCAAGAAGUUACUCAAGAAGGGAUGUGAAGGGUAUUUGGCGCAUAUUAUCGAUACUCGAGAGAUCACCCUAAAUCUGGAAGAUAUUCCUGUUGUUUGUGAUUUCCCUGAUAUCUUUCCAGAUGCUCUCCCUGGUUUACCUCCUGAAAAGGAAAUCGAGUUCACUAUUGAACUUCUUCCGGGCACCAACCCUAUUUAUCAAACCCCCUAUAGGAUGGCGCCGGCUGAACUCCGAGAGUUGAAGACUCAAUUAUAGGAGUUAGUGGAUCUUGGGUUCAUCAGACCCAGUGUUUCACCGUGGGGUGCACCUGUGUUGUUCGUGAGGAAGAAAGAUGGGACCAUGAGGUUAUGUAUUGAUUACCGGCAGUUGAAUAAGGUGACGAUACGUAGCUGGUAUCCUUUGCCUCGGAUUGAUGAUUUGUUUGAUCAGUUGAAGGGUGCUAAGAAUUUUUCUAAAAUCGAUAUGAGAUCAGGAUACCAUCAGUUGAGGAUAAGGGAAGAAGAUAUUCCUAAGACCACAUUCAGAACGCGGUAUGGACAUUAUGAAUUUCUGGUGAUGCCUUUUGGACUCACGAAUGCUCUAGCAGCGUUUAUGGAUCUCAUGAACAGAGUGUUCCGACCAUACCUGGAUCACUUUGUGAUUGUGUUCAUAGACGAUAUCUUGGUGUACUCCAAGACUUUGGAAGGGCAUAAGAAGCAUCUGAGGUUGGUAUUGAGAACUUUGAGAAGGAAGCAGCUUUAUGCUAAAUUUAGUAAGUAUCAGUUCUGGCUGGACAGAGUGGUAUUCUUAGGACAUGUAAUCUCAGCUGAAGGGAUUUAUGUGGAUCCAUAGAAAGUUGAAGCUAUUGUGAAUUGGGUACAACCCACCAGUGUGACAGAAAUACGGAGUUUUCUGGGUUUGGCAGGUGACUAUCGUCGAUUUGUGGAAGGGUUCUCUUCGAUAGCAGCACCUCUCACACGGUUGACAAGGAAAGAGGUUGCGUUUGAGUGGACAGAAGAAUGUGAACAAAGUUUUCAGGAAUUAAAGAAGCGAUUAACCACCGCACCCGUUUUGGCUCUUUCGGAUAAUGCAGGAAACUUUGUGAUCUACAGUGAUGCAUCUUUGCAAGGCUUGGGAUGUGUUCUGAUGCGACAUGAUCGGGUGAUUGCUUAUGCCUCAAGGCAACUCAAGAAGCAUGAGCAGAAUUAUCCGGUUCAUGAUCUGGAACUUGCCGCAGUAGUGUUCGCUCUCAAGAUUUUGCGGCAUUAUUUGUAUGGUGAGACGUGUCAGAUUUUCACUGAUCACAAAAGCCUCAAGUAUUUUUUCACUCAAAGGGAGCUUAAUAUGAGACAACGGCGUUGGUUGGAAUUGAUAAAGGAUUAUGACUGCACGAUUGAGUAUCAUCCAGGCCGAGCUAAUGUGGUUGCAGAUGCAUUGAGUAGAAAGACUACUGGAAGUUUGGCUCAUCUCAGAACGGCAUAUCUUCCGUUGUUAGUGGAACUACGGAAGGAAGGUGUAGAGCUGGAAAUGACUCAACAGGGUGGAAUACUUGUUAGUUUACAUGUGAGACCCAUUCUGGUGGAGCGGAUAAUUGUAGCCCAGUUGAGAGAUCCGACACUUUGUAGAAUAAGGGGAGAAGUAGAAAAUGGUACACGGAAAGAUUAUGCAAUAAGGGGAGAUGGGGCGUUGGUAACAGGAACUCGCCUCUGUGUACCUAGGAAUGAUUAUCUGAAAAGAGAAAUCAUGGAGGAAGCUCACUGUUCCACUUACACUAUGCAUCCAGGAAGUACCAAGAUGUAUCGAACCCUAUGGGAAUAUUACUCAUGGCCGCAUAUGAAGGGAGACAUUGCUAAGUAUGUAAGUAAAUGCUUGAUUUGUCAACAAGUGAAAGCAGAGCGACAGAAAACUUCAGGGCUUAUGCAACCACUUCCAAUUCCUGAAUGGAAGUGGGAACGCAUUAUCAUGGAUUUUGUUUUCAAGCUUCCACGUACUCCCAAGGGACAUGAUGGAAUUUGGGUAAUAGUUGACAGACUCACCAAGUCAGCCCAUUUCCUACCCAUCAAGGAAACUUAUUCUCUGACGAAGUUGGCAAAACUUUUUGUGGACAAGAUUGUGAGAUUACAUGGAGCACCUGUGUCCAUUGUAUCGGACAGGGAUGCCCGAUUCACUUCUCGAUUCGGGAAGUGUUUACAGGAAGCUAUGGGUACUAGGUUGCAGUUUAGCACAGCUUUUCACCCACAGACUGUUGGACAAUCAGAAAGAACUAUCCAGACUUUGGAGGAUAUGUUGAGGUCGUGUGUGCUGCAGAUGAAAGAUUCAUGGGAUACUCACCUUGCCUUGGUGGAAUUUGAGUACAAUAACAGUUAUCAUGCGAGUAUAAAGAUGGCUCCUUAUGAGGCGUUAUAUGGGAGACAAUGUAGGAUUCCUAUUUGUUGGAAUGAAGUGGGAGAUAAGAAAUUGGAAAAAGUGGAUAGUAUCCAAGCAACAACCGAGAAGGUGAAGAUGAUUAAAGAGAAGCUGAAGAUCGCACAGGACCGACAGAAGAGUUAUGCAGAUAAUAGGUCCAAAGAUCUUGAAUUUGCAGUUGGGGAUUGGGUGUUUCUAAAGUUAUCUCCUUGGAAGGGUGUGAUGAGAUUCGGGAAACGUGGGAAGUUAAGCCCUCGUUAUAUUGGACCCUAUGAGAUUACUGAACGCAUCAGACCUGUUGCUUAUAGACUUGCAUUAACUGCAGAACUAUCUCGAGUCCAUGAUGUAUUUCAUGUAUCUAUGCUUCGGAAAUAUAUGUCAGACCCUUCUCAUAUUUUAGAAUAUCAACCUGUGGAGUUAGAAGAAGAUUUAUCAUAUGAGGAGCAACCUAUGCAAAUCCUGGAUAGGAAAGAACAAAUGUUGCGCUCCAGAUCUAUUCCAGUAGUGAAGGUUCUGUGGAGAAGCCAAACCGUGGAAGAAGCUACAUGGGAGCCUGAGGCGCAAAUGAGGGUCAAGUACCCUUAUCUCUUCCAUUAACAGGUACGUAAAUUUCGGGGACGAAAUUUUUAUAAGGGGGGUAGAUUAUAACACCCCGACUCCAAAAAAUUAAUGUCUAUUUUAUUAAUUUAAAAUAAAUUUCGAAUUUACCCUUCGAGUAGGGGUAAAUUGGUCACUUUCUUAUCCGGAAGGAUUUUGGGACCACGAAUGAUAUUUUUGGGUAGGUGGUACUAAGACGAAUUCGUAGACACGCGGUAGGCUUAAAUCGGAGUUGUAACGAAAAAAUUACGAUCAAAACAUUAUCAGUGGCAAACUUGUAAAUAUUUCAAAAAGUUUGGUAAAAAUCAGAUUUUUCACUUCAGCUCUCUCUCUCCUCGUGCGCGCUCGACUCUCUCUCUCCUCAGUCUCUCUCUCUCUCCGACACCGACACUCUCUCUCUUCGGUUCUCUCUACACCAGCCACGGCCAGGCACGCCACCGGUCCCGAUCGAUUCGCCUCGACGUCCCGAUCAAGUCUAGCUGGUUUUUCCCGUCGAAAAUCACGAACUUCGGCCACGAACUCGACUGGUUUAAACCGGAGCUUUCCCGUCGUCGGGCCGCCGCCUCCGCCGCCCAAACUCGGUGAGUGAGGUAUGGUUUCUCAUCCAUUUUUCGAGUUCUAGCUGACUGUGGUAUAGGUUUGGACCGAUUCGUUGUCUAGAAAAUCGAUUAGAAAACCUACGUUUUGGCCGGAUUUCAAAGUGAAAUUCCGGCCAGUUGCCGCCUGAAUUGGACCUUCUCGUAGUUAAAUAAAGUGAUGCUGACCUUGAGUAGAAGCUAGGUUAGGAAGGGUGAGCUCGGGUGUGGAGUUUUUCCGUCACCGGAAUUUACUCUACGCACCCAGGCGCUGCCGGCGCGUGGGCGAGGCUGGUGAAGCUGCAAUUUAACUCGAUGAGAUCCUUAGGUUGUCACGAGCGCAUAGGAAUUCGCAGAUCUCAAUUUGGAUGUCGUUUGACUAUCGAACGGAUUUUCGUAAUUUGUGCGUUAUCCGGGUUCGAUAGGUUCCGACCGUUAGAUCUUUUCCGAAUUAAAAUAUGUUGUUCUAGGUAUUCCUAGGACCAUAUGGGACUUCACGGAUUAUGAAUUGGAACCCCGGAUGUUCCGAUUCAAUAAUGCAAAGUUUGCGGGUUAGCGAUAACCGUACAAUCGUGAACGAUUCAUAAACCUGUAAUCGGACCUUAGGAUAUCUUCUUCAACGUGCACGUAUUGGGAAUUUGGGGAUUUACGCAUUUAAUUUGUGAUUUCCGCUUCGACGUAAUUUUAUAUUAAUUAACGGUUCGUAUCUCGAAAUAGGUGUUUCGACUGCACGUACUCAGUAGGCAGGACCCUCCCGUGGUCAGGCAGCGUGGGAAUAUUUGUGAGUGGACUUUGUUUUCAAUCAUAUGCAUGGUUUUAUUGAUGAAAGAUUUUUGCAUAAUGUUUUAAUGGCUUAUUGAAUAUAUUAUAUUCAUGAGUUGAAUAUGAUGUUUGUAUAGUGCUUGGCAAUAUAUUGUGAGUUUGGCAUUGUGGGUAUUGAGAGUGCAUUUUAUAAGAAAUUUGGGGAAGUAUCUAUAUAUAUGUAUAUUCUCUAUAGGCGGGAUAUUUGGGUUGUUGAAGUGUGCUGUGGAAGAACUUGAUUAUGAGGGGUUGUUGAGAGAAGUUGUAUGAUUACACUAUGUAAGUACCUUCUCCAGUUAUUAGACUUUUCACACGCAGCGUUGGAUGUUCCGGCGUGUGAGACACUUUCCAUAUGCGGUGUUGGAUGUUUCGGCGUAUGGAAAGACUCUGUAUAGUGUUUAGGGUCAUCACCAUGGCGUUGGAUGUUCCGAUGUGUGAUGAUCUAGUCUGCGCACGUAGGACAUAGUUUCGGAGCUACACAUGGUGUUGGAUGUUCCGGUGAGGGAGCUUUGGAGUUUCGUCUCCUGGUUGGACCGCUCAUCCCUAGAUGCAGGAUAGCACCUAGAAAUCCUGCGGUAGUGUGAUGAGUAUAUCGUAUAGCUAUGUAUAGUUAUAUUUAUAUAUAUAUGUAUAUUUAUAUGUAUAUGUAUAGUUGAGUGAGUGAAGAAUUUGAGUUUUUCAGUGGGUUGACAGAAGUUGUAAGAUUGAGAGAAUGGGGUUGAUGAAGGAGAUGAUUUGUAUUUUGAAGAGUUUUUAAUGAAUCAUGUUUUGAGUAAUUAAAUAUUGAAUUGUGAACCUGCAUGACUUGAGCAUUAUUUUUACAUGGUGGGGUUACUAUAUUGUUUUUAACUGCAAAUCUGAUUUUUGUCCACUCACAUGUUUUCUGUUUUGUGCCCCCCAGCUAGUAGUCGCUCCAGGAAGCGUGCAAGUGGUGUACGAGGCUCGAACUGUGAAUCUUCCUAGUUAGGAUUUGAGUAAUUUCUUCUACUCAACUGUUCUUGUAAUCUAAAUUCAGUAGAUGCUCUGUUAUCGCCCAUGGUAGAUUUUACUUGUGAGGUCGGAGGCCAUUUUAGUAUGACUUGUUGAAUUAUGAAAGCAUGCUGCUGGUUGGGAUUUUAUUUUAUGUAUGUUACAGGUUGAAAUUUUUUGUUGGGUUUGCUUAAAUUACAGGGGAGACUCUGCUAAAAUUUUAGUAGAAAGUCUCGGUUUCUUAAUAAGUGGGCCCAGUAUCGGGAAGAUGUCGGAACAAAGACGGGGUCCGCUUCGGUUUCCGGAAAAUUCCGGGGCGGGUCCUGUCAUUUCAGCUCCAACUCACCCUUAGGGAUGAUUUCCUCUAAAACUCACACUAAACACAUCAAAAUGACCAAUUUCACAGAAGAAACUAGCAAAAACCAUAGGAAUACAAUAUAGAAAAUAAGCAUAAAUAUAGAGUGAUCAAAUACCUCAAACCUAUCUUUUUCUAGUUCUUGAGCAAAACAGAAAUAAAACAAGUUAGAAAACAAAACUAGAAGUUAAUCUAGGCCACUUUCGUAGGGAAUCACAAUGGCACUAAACAUGUGCCACAAGCCUUUAAACCUCUAAGUAUCCCCAGUAGGAGGAGUUGUGUCUCCUUAGGAUUUACAAUUUACGAUACUCAUAAACACUUACUCUCUGCAAAACAAAAACUUUAAAAUACUACUUUAAUCUAACUAACAAAAACCAAUGUAAGCAGAAGCCUAACUCAAGACUAAAAUUAUGUCGUUCAAUUAAAUGCACCAAGUGUUAAGUGUAGAGCCAAACCUCAAAAUACUUUGGCUUAAAGGCAACCAUACCUCAAUGUCAAGGAUAGAAUUCGUCUUAACUCUAGGCCUCAAAGGGAAUCACUCUUAUUUUCAUAUAGAAACUAGGCUUACUUUCUCAUCACGCAUAUGCAUAUGAGAAUAGAGUUUAUGUAUAGAGAAUCAAGAAUUAUCGCUUAUGAAUUUUAAGAAAUAAAAGCUCAAUUUCUGAAAAUAGACCUCAUGAAAAGAAUUAAAUACUAAGAAUGUAGGUAGAUUCCUUCACUUCCAAGCAAGAUGUACCAAAAGAUCCCUAAGUGAAAAUUUUAUCAUAACUUCCAAACGAAAAAUCCAAUAUGGAUUCAACACAAAAAACUGAAGAAGAAAACAUGGGCCAAAUCUUCAUCUUCAUUACUAGAAAAGACAGUUUUAAGCAAACAUAAACCUCACGUUAUUUUAGACAGAAAAACAGAGAACUAAAAAGGAAAAUGCUAAAAUGAACAAAAACACACAAAAAAGUCAAUUCCACACCCCCAAACCUAAACUAAACAUUGUCCUUCAAUUGCAAGGCAAAGAUAGAAUGCAAACAUUGGUACCGAAUCCACGACUCUCGAGGGGUCUUCAAAGUAAAGUUUUAAGCGAUUACCAUUGACUUUAAACUUAUACCCAAUCCUCUUGUUCUCAAUUUUGACCAUACCAUAAGGAAACACUAGCUUCAUUGUGAAUGGACCCGUCCAUUUGGACCUUAGUUUACUUGGAAAAAGCUUCAAACAUGAGUUACAAAGCAAAACUUUCAUAACCAGUGUAAAGUUGAAUCGCUUUAUGAUGAUAAAGCUUGGUCCUUUCCUUAUAGAUCUUCCCAUUUUCAUAGGCUUCAUUCCGUAGCUGAUCUAGUUCACUCACUUGCAUCUUCCUCAUGUCUCCAGCCUUCAUCUCAAAAUUCAGUCGCUUAAUUGCCCAGUAGGCCCUAUACUCCAAUUCAACCGGUAAGUGGCAAGCCUUGCCAAAAACAAGUCGAUAUGGGCUCAUACCAAUAGGAGUCUUAUAUGUUGUGCGAUAGGCCUAAAGAGCGUCAUUCGAUUGCAAUGCCCAAUCCUUUUCUUGUAGUUUCUACGGUCCUCUCCAAGAUUGUUUUAAUUUGCCGGUAGCUUAACUCGACUUGUCCCAAUGUUUGAGGGUGGUAAGGAGUUGCUACCUUAUGGGUGAUAUUGUACUUUUUCAACAAAUGCAUCAAAAGACUCAUUGCAAAAGUGACUCUCCCCAUCACAAUUUUGCUAUCACUAGUCUUGGUCACAAUCGUUUCAAUCCACUUAGGCACGUAAUCAAUAGCGACAAGGAUAUAAUUGUACCCAUAAGAUGAUGGAGACGGACCCAUGAAGUCUAUACCCCAAACGUUGAAUAAUACCACUACCAGAUUGCUUGUGAGCGGCAUCUCACUCCUCUUGCUUAUGUUCCCAUAUAUUUGGUACCUGUCGCAGUGAGCAACAAAAUUACACGUAUCUUUGAAUAAGGUAAGCCAAAGGAAUCUAGAUUGAAGAACUUUAAAAGCAGUCUUUUUACCACCAAAAUGUCCCCCACAAUUUAAUUCAUGACUAAAUUUUAAUAUACUUUGCUGCUCAGAUUUUGGGACACAACGCCUUAUUAUUUGAUCAGGACAAUGCUUAAAUAAAUAAGGUUCCUCGCAAAAAUAAUGCUUAACCUUAGCUAAAUAAUUACCAAUAUCUGCAAACCAUGGCUCUUCUCCAUGCGCAUGCAGAGAAGAGUUGUUCAUGAGGAAAAGCGUCGAGGAUGGGUAGGAUAUCACCAUAGCCAGCCACCUCCUUGGUGGUGCCACCCAUUCCUUGGCCGGGCACAAGCUCCAACCACGAUAAGUGAUCAGCUACUACAUUCUCGCUCCCUUUUUCGUCCUUAAUUUCCAAAUUAACCUAGGCUUGACAUCCUUUUUGGUUAGCAAAUAUUUCAAUGUCGCAUGAUCAAAAUAGGUAAUAAUAUUAUUAGAGCCACUUAAAUAAGAGUGCAGUUUCUCCAAUGCAAAAACAACAAGUAGUAAUUCUUUUUCAAUGGUAAAAUAAUAAAUUUGAGCAUCAUUAACGGUGCAACUCACAUAAUGAAUAACACAAGGCACUUUAUUUACCCUUUGUCCUAGAACAACACCUAUGGCAUAAUCAGAAGUUUGACACAUUAUUUCAAAGGGUAACGACCACUUAGGAGGCAUAAUAAUAGGUGCCAUAGUUAAUUUCUCUUUCAAAGUAUUGAAGGCAUUAAGGCAAUUUUUAUCCAAAAUUAGAAACAGCAUCUUUGGCCAAUAAAUCGCACAAGGGGCAAGUAAUUUUGAAAAAAAAAUAUUUAAUAAAUCUUUGAUAAAAUCUUGCACGACCCAAGAAGCUUCGCACUCCCUUUACAGAAGUAGGGACAACAAUUUUUCAAUUAAAUUAAUUUUUUCCUUGUCAACUUCAAAACCUAGAAAUAAUAUGUGCCAAAACAAUACCUUGCCUUACGAUGAAGUGGCUCUUCUCCUAGCUCAAUGUCAAGUUAAUCUCUACAUGUCUCUUAAGCAUCAAGGUUAAAUGUUCAAGGCAAUUACAGAAAGAACUUCCAAAAACAGAAAAAUAAUCCAUAAAUACCUUGAUAAACCUAUGUACAAGCUUAGUAGUUGAAGUUAAUUCUGCAAUAGUUGGGGACCUGAUCAUUUUUUCUAUAAAAAUAUUGUUUACUUAGAUCAUUACACUAUUCCAUGGUGUUACUAAUCCACGUAUUAUAAUAUAAGUGGGUGACAGGAUUUAUAUAUCAUGGAUCCAAUAUCAAAGGCGGAUCUACAUUUGGCCUGGAGUGGGCUCCAACCUAGUUCUGAAUAGGCUCAGUUGUACAAGCCCAACCUAGGUAAAUCAAAUAAUAGCACACCCCUCUAUGUAGAAAUAAGCCCACUUAUGAACCAUCUCUACACCCUACAACAGACGUAGAUUUUUUCUUUCUUAUUCUAGUCACCCAUAACUCCAUAUUUGGCAUCAAGGGGGAUUCAUUCAUGAAUAUCUGGUCUGCUCUGCUUACACAAGUUCAAUAAACUUAGACUUGGGAACAACCUAGUGACAAAUUAUUUAGUGUUAACAUCUCUCCUUAUUGCAUGCCAGCCCAAAGCCAAGAGGAUAUAAAGGGUCAUAUGAAUUGUCUCCAGCAUUCACAGGCAGCUGUUCAACCCUUUUAAACCAUGUCACUGGGAGCUGGCCCUCGAAAUCGUGAUCUCCAAAGAUAACAUCUGCAAUUCCAUCUCCUUCAGUACCAGGUAACCAGGCAGCAACAAGAGCAUCUAUCUUUUCCAAUAGCCAGGGCUCUAAAACUAAGGGUCUUCCAGAAAUCAGAAUUACCAACGAGGGGAUUUUGUCAGCAACUGAGCUUAUGAUAUCAGCUCCAUUCAAGGGGAUCACAAGCUUUGAAUUGUCACCCUUGCCUUCUGCAUAUGGAGCUUCUGUUAGUGUUUAAUAAGCUACUGAUAAAAAUGGAGGAAUACUGAGAAUAUUGAAGAAAAGAGUGAAGAGAAUAAUGAUGCUCUGUAAAAACGUUUUCGUAUAUUUGUUGUUGUGUAUUUUCGAGCUGUAUCACUCACAGCUCAUAUUACAGUUAGAAGAGAGAGAGAGAGCUAGACAAAUCCUAGCUUCAAUCUCAACCAUCCAACUACACUAUGGGUAAGAUUAUGACACCUGUCCAGUCAAGUCCUAUGAGACUUAACAAACCGUUUUGACUAUUAUAGACAGCUUAGCCUAUGAGCUAAGUAUAACACUAAACCAACAAUUACAUACUAAAUCAGUUUACCAUUUUGCACAUUAACACUCCCCUUCAAAUUGUGAACUGAUUUCACCCCAAGCAAUUCUCUGAGAUAAGAGAAUUGUUCCCUUGCCAAAGCCUUAGUGAAGAUGUCAGCUACUUGCUCCUUUGUAGGACAAUAAAUCAAGUUGAUUACACCCUGUUGUAGAGCUUCUUUGAUGUAGUGAUACCUCCGGUUUAUGUGUUUGGUUUUCUGAUGAAAGAUCGGAUUCUUGGUGAUAGCAAUGGCUGAGGUGUUAUCACAGUUUAGGGGUGUUGCCACAGUCUGCAUUUCACCAAAAUCUUCUAACACAAACCGUAACCAAGUAGCUUGUGCAGUUGCCUCUGAUGCACUCACAUAUUCUGCUUCAGCUGUGGAUAGAGCAACACAUUGUUGCUUCACAGAUGCCCAAGAGAAUACUCCACUACCGAAUGUAAAAGCAUAUCCCGAUGUACUCUUCAUAUCAUCUUCUGAUCCAGACCAGUCACUGUCACAGAAGCCUACCAAAACCGAUCCUUCUCCUUUCUUAUAUUCCAAACCAAAGUCAAGUGUACCCUGAACAUACCUUAGUACCCUCUUGGCAGUUCCAUAAUGUUUAUUUGUGGGGGAAUGCAUAAAUCUAGCCAACAGACAAGCAGCAUACAUUAUAUCCGGUCUAGUUGCAGUGAGGUAGAGUAGACUUCCCACUAGUUUUCUGUAUUCAGCUUCAUUUGAAGCUCCACUUUCAUCAUCUCUCUUCAAUUUGUCAGCUGGUACAAGAGGAAUACCAACCGGUUUACAGUCCCGCAGACCAAACCUUUUCAAAAGUGUGGAAGCAUAUUUCUUCUGGUGUAUGAAAAUGUAGUCUUCACUUUGGAUAAUUCCCAUUCCUAGAAAGUGAUGUAGCAAACCCAAAUCUGUCAUCUCAUACCUCUGCAUCAUAUCAGUCUUGAAAUCUUGCAUUAGUUCUUGAGAAUUCCCUGUAUAGACUAUAUCAUCCACAUAGAUAGAUACUAUGACCAGAUCCGAGGUUCCCCUGCCUUUAACAUAUAAUGUUGCCUCACUUGUGCUCCUUUUAAAGCCACAUUGCACGAGAUAAGAGUCUAUUUCUCCAUACCAGGCUCUAGGAGCCUGUUUCAAGCCAUACAAGGCUUUGUGCAAUUUAUACACUUUAUCCUCUUCACAUUGCACAAUAAAACCAUCGGGCUGCUCUACAUACACCUCCUCUUGAAGCACUCCAUUCAGAAAAGCUGAUUUCACAUCUAAUUGAUACAUUUUCCAACUAUUCUUUGCAGCCAAGGCAAUGAGAGUUCGUAUAGUAUCCAACCUUGCCACUGGUGCAAAGGUUUCAUUAUAAUCUAUUCCGGGCUUUUGUGCAUAGCCCUUUGCAACUAGUCUAGCUUUAUGCUUUUGAAUCGAACCAUCCAAGUUCAACUUAGUCUUGUACACCCAUUUUACUCCAAUUAUAGGUUUGUUGAAAGGUCUAUUUACCAAUUCCCAAGUCUGAUUCUUCUCAAUCAUGUUCAUCUCAUUUUCCAUUGCCUUCUUCCAAGCUUCAUCCUGUGCAGCUUCAUCAAAGUUCUCAGGCUCCACUAUGCAUGAAUGGCAACUUGCAUAGAUCUCACUCAGAUUUCUGUACCUCAAAGGUGUGUCAUCAACCGAGGGAUCAUCUGCAGGUUCUUCUUCUGUUUCAGGUGCUUGGAAAACAGGUUCUUCUUCUGAUUCAGUUGUUCUCAUAUCUGAGAGUUCAUCCGCAGGAAGUGGAAUGCAGAUUUCUUUCACUUUGUGUUGCUCCCAAUCCCAUUUGCCAUGCUCAUCAAAAACCACAUCCCUUGAAAGCAAAACCUUCUGAGUUGCAGGAUUCAAUAUUCUGUAUCCCUUCUCACAUGUACCAUAACCAAUAAAAACUCCUAUGGCACUUGUUGCUUCUAGCUUAUGCCUUAACUUUCCAGGAAUAAGUGAGUAACACACUGAGCCAAACACCUUGAGAUGUUUAACUCCAGGCUUUCUCCCACUAAACUUCUCAAAAGGUGUAGUAUUCUCCAAAGCUCGGGUUGGACUUCUAUUAAGUAAAUACACAGAGGUAUUCACUGCCUCACACCAAAGCGUGUAGGGAAGCUCCUUGUCAUGAAUCAUGCACUUUGCCAUUUCUACAAUGGUUCUAUUUUUCCUCUCCGCAACGCCAUUUUGCUGUGGAGAAUAAGCUACUGUGAGUUGCCUUUCUAUUCCCAGAUUUUCACAAAACUGAAGAAAAUCAGCUGAGAUGUAUUCUCCUCCCCGAUCAGUCCUCAACCUCUUCACAUGGUAUCCGGAUUGAAGCUCCACCAUAACUUUGAAUUUCUUGAACACAUGGAAUGUCUCGGACUUAUUUCUCAGAAAAUAAACCCAGCACAUCCUUGAAAAAUCAUCUAUGAAUGUGAUAAAAUAUUUAUUUCCACCUAGGCUUGCUGUUUGCAUUGGACCACACAAGUCUGAAUGAAUCAAUUCUAAUGGCUCCUUGGCUCUCCACUUUGAUUCCUUAGGAAAUGGCUCCCUGUGACCCUUCCCAAGUACACAACCGUGGCACAACACUUCACCAUUUUGGAUUUCAGGCAGCCCCAAUACCAUUGCUUGGCUCUGCAGCAGCUGGAGGCUUCGAAAGUUUAAGUGCCCAAACCUCUUGUGCCAUACCUUGGAGCAUUCUUGCACAUUUGUUUUCAAGGCAAUCUCCUUGAUUGUGUUGAAAGUUAAGGGAAAACACCUGUUCCCCUUUUGCUUUACACUUACCACCAUGUUACUUAGGGAACUAUCAUCGAAGAUGUCAACCUUGUGAUUUCCAAAUACAAGAAAAUAGCCAUGCUCUGUCAUCUGUCCUACACUUAGCAAAUUUUCAGCUAGACUAGGUACAAGCAUAACCUCCUUUAUAUACCUCUUACCCUUCAUUGUUUCAAUGAUCAGUGUCCCUUUUCCUGCCACUUCAACUAAAACUCCAUUGCCUACUUGAACCUUUGCUUUCACUCCUCUGACAAUGUCUACAAGCAAGUCUUCCCUGGAUGUCAUAUGAUUGCUACAUCCACUAUCUAUGUACCAUUCAUCACUCAUCUUCUUUACUUCUCCAGAAUGAUUAGCAAAGAAUAAGUUUCCGGUUUCUUCAACCUGAUUAGCAAAGUUCACCUGCUGCACAGCCUUGUUUGUAUGACAAUAUUUUGCAAUAUGCCCAAUUUUGUUACACUUGUGACACUUGACCUUGUUCUUAAACCAACACUCUCCAUAGUGCAAUUUAUCACAGAAUUUGCAUUUAUUUCCAGUGUUGUCUGUCUCAUUUUUCACAGAGGAAUUAGACUUAUUACCUCCAUCACCCUUGUUGCCCCAUUGCUGCCCCUGUGGUUUGGCAUUCUUCUGAGACUUACUGGUGUGACCAUUAGACCGUGUUGCCUUUGAUCCAACGUUGAAGCUAGCAAAAGCCUUCUCUGCACUAUUGUCACCAUGCCUAUCAAGCCUCUGUUCAUAUCCUUUUAAAAUGGCAACAACAUCCUGAGCAUCAAUAGUGUCUAAAUCUUUUGUAUUCUCUAUCACAGCUGCAAUACUAUCAUAGGACUUAGGCAGACUAAUAAGUAGUUUCUGAACAAUUCGUUGAUUGCUCAGAUCCUCACCAUAGCUCCUCAUUUGGUUGAUCAGAUCAAACAACUUAGCAAUAUAUCCAGACAAAGAUUCAUUAUCACUCAUCCGAGUAUAUUCAAAAUCACGCCUAAGACCCUGAAGUUUCACAGAUCUUACCUGCUUAUCACCCACAAAUUCUUGUUUCAGAAUAUCCCACGCAGCCUUUGCAGAUUCCUGAGUUGCAAUUCGUGGAAAAAUUUGAUCUGAUACAGCCCCUUGGAUGAUACCCAGAGCUCUAGCGUCCUUCACCAAGUUCUCACGCAUCAGCUUCCUCUCUGCCUCCGUGAGCUCCUCCGCCUCCUUCGUCGGAGUUUUGUACCCAUUCUCCACAAGAUCCCACAGCUCGUGCGAACGGAAGAUGGUUUUCAUUUUGAUUUGCCAGAAAUCAAAAUUUUCACCAUUAAAAAUGGGUGCCCUGAGUUCUCCUCCUCCAGAUCCAGACAUGUUAGUCUAGAGUACUGAUUUGAGCUCAAGAAUCACACAACAAGCUUUUGCUCAGAGAUUCAAACCCAACCUCACAGUCACAACGCCCAGAAAUUCAGACCCAACUAGGCUCUGAGGCCAUGUUAGUGUUUAAUAAGCUACUGAUAAAAAUGGAGGAAUACUGAGAAUAUUGAAGAAAAGAGUGAAGAGAAUAAUGAUGCUCUGUAAAAACGUUUUCGUAUAUUUGUUGUUGUGUAUUUUCGAGCUGUAUCACUCACAGCUCAUAUUACAGUUAGAAGAGAGAGAGAGAGCUAGACAAAUCCUAGCUUCAAUCUCAACCAUCCAACUACACUAUGGGUAAGAUUAUGACACCUGUCCAGUCAAGUCCUAUGAGACUUAACAAACCGUUUUGACUAUUAUAGACAGCUUAGCCUAUGAGCUAAGUAUAACACUAAACCAACAAUUACAUACUAAAUCAGUUUACCAUUUUGCACAUUAACAGCUUCACCAACAGCUACAAUCGCGAAAGUGAUAUCUUGCCGUGCUAAGGUCUCUGUCGAGGGAUACUUCUCAUAAAUGAUUUCUGUAUCAUCUCCAAAUGCCUUCUUAAUAGCUUCCAAGAUGGUUGUCCCUAAAAAUGUAAAUGAUCUAAUUAGUGAGUUGCACAUGUGCAAUUAAGGCAUUGAAAAGAUACUAGCAUGCAAAUUUACCAUCUAUCAAUUUCAAAUUGAGCCAUGAAGAAAAAAAAAAAACUUCUAUAACCUGUUUAUAAUGGUUUUCAAAAAUAAAGUUUGCAAAAUUCUGGUUCAAAACUUGAAAAAUGAAAUUGUUUGAGAAAACAUGAUGCAUGCAAAUGAAUUCUAAUCUUAUUAAGAUAUAUAUACACACACACACACACAAAUAUGUCACAUUGAUUAUGAUAAUCAACAAUUAGGCUUUCAGUUAUAAAAAUAGUGGAAAAAUAGCAACACUGUUCCAUACCAAUUGUUAUCCUUCCACUGCUACCAUAUUUUGUAGCUGUCCACCCUCCACACUGAUUUCCAAGAUCAUCGGCAUGAGUUCCAGCAACGAGUAUUCUUUUAGCGUUUUUUUCUAAGGGAAGAAAAGGUUCCAUUGGAUCCUUUCCAUUUUUAAAAAGAACCAAUGACCUCCGAACUGCUUCACGUGCUAAAUCUCUGUGCAUCUGCACGAGAAUCAUGGAAAUAGAAACUGUUUCAUAAGUACAAGAUGCUCAAAACAGAAUAUAUGAUCAAUGGGCCAUUUUCAAAUGAUAACAUGCAAAACAUGUAGCGGUUUCAAUGACAUGAAAAUGAGACAUGCUGUUCUGAAAAUUACCUUGCAACCAACUAUGUCCUGCAAAGAUGUAUCAGUGAAGGGAUGUUCAAAAAGACCAGCAACAAACUUCACUCUUAGUAUUCUCUCAACAGCAUCAUCUAUCCUGGACAUUGGUAUCUCCCCAGAUUCCACAAGAUAUAUUAAUUCCUCAAUGAAUUGUUCAUAUCUGAAAGGAACCAUGACCUGCAUACCUUCUGAAUUAGACAAAUGUAGGAAGUAAAGAUCAAGGAAAGCAAAUAAUUGUUAGGCUUAUAAACUUGGAGUUCAUAUGUACCAUGUCUAUUCCUGCAUUAAUGGCUAACGAAAUGCAUAAACGAUAGUUUGAACCUUCAGGUUCACAAAGUUGGUCAAUUCCAUCCCAGUCAGAAAUCACAAAUCCCUGCAGCAGAGUACAAAAUGAUGCUUAUCUAGACAUACAACAUUUAAUGUUAAAGAAACUCUGCACUUUGAAUAAACCAAUAAAAUAUAUGGAAGGUUACUUGAAGUUCAUUCAAAUGUUUGCACAGUUACAUCUUACUGAUGACUAGGAAGCAUUCAGGAUAUCAAAAUUCUAACAUAUAGUCCAUCACAAUAUGCAAUAUUAUCUUUAUGCCGAAAUGACUGAUUAUAAUUAGUUGAGAAGAGACUAAUAGGAAUCGGUAGGGGUAGGUCUUCGGUCCCUCUUUUCCAGUAGGAAAUAGUGCAGACUAUGUGGGUUCCUUACCCUAAAACCUAGCUUAUCUUUCAAGAUUUCUGUGAGGAGAAAACUGUGUCCAUGUAGUCUCUGUCCAUUCCAGCUGUUAUAGGACACCAUAAUAGUGGAAACUCCUUGAGAAAUACAGUCUAGAUAAGGGCGCAUAUGAAUCCUCUCUAAGUCGUCAUAAGAGGAUAUAUUAUUGCCCUCAUUGACACCUUUCUUUGUUCCCCCUUCUCCAACAAAAUGCUUGGCAGAUGCAAUAAUGUUGUUUCUGAAAUAUACAAAAGUAAGAAAAAGUUCAAAUAUCUGAGAUUACUUCCAAUGGGACUUAAGUAUUUGAAUGCAAGAACAUGGUAAGCAUAAGUUGUGAACCUCCAAGAACUCGAUUUUUCCUCAAUUAGUAUACAAUUUUGAAAAUAAUUAUUUGAUUUUAUUUGAAACAAAGAUGAUUAAAGACAUGUUAUCAAAUUCAGAUAAGAUGCAAUAUGUUUCAUGAAAGAAGUAUGCAUGGAAAAUUAUUGACUAAUAACUCUCCUUUCACUUUCUACCUUCCUGCUACAAAAGGGUAGCCCUUUGGGUAUCCCUGGGGUGGCUGCCCCUGCAAGCCUGAAACAAUAGAAGUCAUCUUGCUUACAAUUUCUGUGUCUUCACUGUAACUCUCGUAGCAUCUUCCCCAUCUGGGAUCUUUGCACACCUGUCAAACUCAGAAUCCAUUCAAGUGAAUUUCUUCACAAACCCAUUCAAUUCAUGCCUCAAUUUAUUAUCUUACAUUUAUACCUACAGUUUUAUAUGCUACAAAUUUACCAAAAUUCAUGGCUUAAAAGAGUGUAAAAAGAACAAGAAAGACCCAAAAGGUUGUAUAAUUUUUUUUUUUUUCCACAAAAGAAACAAAUUUUGGAGUUUGAAGUUUUAGUAGAUACGCCAUAACUUUUGCAAUCCGAUAAACUGCAGUCUAAACUUAAAACAGAUAACGAGUACUGAAUCCAUAAUGACUUACAGCCACACAGGGAGCAAAAGUAUAGUGAAUGCCACAGGCCCUGGCUUCAAGAGCAGUUGCCACACCAAUCCUUCGAGCCAAAUCUGCAUCUCUAUCACACACAAACGCACACACAGUUCAAAAGUUAGUGGAAAUGGAAGACUACCAAGACUUUUCUUUUUGUUUCGUUCUUAUGUUUUUCUCCUUUAUUGUCAUUCUGAGUCGUCAUAAAUCAGGAUUCCAAGUUUCAAACAACUGUGUUUCAUCAGAUUUGAACUUAGAAACUCUUCCAGCACAAAGUUGUGAUUACCUUAUAUCAUUAGACCAAAUGGUCAGUGCUGCAAAUUUAAUCUAAUUAUAGUUUUUCCACUAUUCUCUUAGUGAUCAAACAAAAACAUCAAAAUUUAAACCAAUCAAGAAACGAAUCAUUAAUGAAUAAGCAGUCUUGAAAAAUGAAACACACUAACCCAGUGGCGCCAAGACCAACAUUGUGAGGGAAUAUGGCGGCACCAAACACAUUACCAUUCCCAUGAACCGCAUCAGUCCCAUAUAUGAGGGGGAUGCCAAGCCUAGACUCCAGCGCUGACCUCUGAAACCCAUCUACCAUAUCCGACCAGUCCGACGGAGAAGCAUUCUCAACCGGCAAGCUGCCCGGAGCACUGAAUAUGCUCCCUACCAUAAUAAUAUAUAUACUCCAUGAAGUCUACCAUCAAUGACAUGGGACAAAAAAAAAAUCUAUACCAGAUAGAGAGAGAGAGUACCGAUGGAGAGGUCUUUAAUGGCAGCUGGGGUGGCGACCUGGCUCUCGAUUUGGGUCAUCUGGCCGACCUUCUCUUUCAAAGUCAUACGAGAAAGGAGUUGUUUGACGUGAGCUUCAAUGACUUCCUCCUCUACUUUGGCCAUCUUGAGCUAACUAACCAACCUCUUUCAUCUCAGCUGCUUUAAUGGGUUCUUCUACUAGAAGUUGCAGUUUAAAGUUAGGUUGUAGUGUUCAAUGAUGUUCUAUAUAUGAUAAUCAAGAUGCUUUAAAAGCUCGAGCCAAGGAAACAAUUUUUAUUUUUUAAUUUUUUUAAUUUUCAAGUUUUUAAUACUAGUGGAAAAGUGAAAAGGAAGAAUUAUUUUUUUAAAAUAUCCUCCGUACACUUUGUAUGUUAAAUAUUUGAAAAUUAUUCUUCUUUUCCGUUUGAGCGGGCAGAAGGUUGUGCUUUGUGGUCGUCCUUUUUUCAAGUAUUCUAGUCAUGUUCUGUUUCAAGAAAACACUGAACAAGUGUUGCCUUUUACUUUUGUGACUUCCUUUUGUGAGGUAGUGCGCAUCAAGUGUUGUGACUUGCCUUGUUGAAUUGUAAGUCUCUAGCUGAUUAGAAUUAGUGAAAUAAGCUAUGAGUUUAAUUGUGUAUUCACUUGAGCUUUAUUAUUGCCAAGUGUGAGGCCAAGAAUGUAAGGCAAACAAUGCCAUGUGUGAUGAUCCUAAUAAAUAUCUAGAUGUGUGGCUGAGAUCUUUUUUGAUGUAAGAAAAAUGAUCCAGCUAUGACUGCUAACAGAUAUAUUCCUUGCACGAUGUGUGUGAGAAAGUUUUGUUUUAUGAAGUAAGAAAGCAAUAUUCUCUGUUGCUCUCUGGAGAGAUGAGAGAACAUUCAUUCUCUUUGUGAUCUUUGUAUUUUUUCUUUCUACUUUAAUCCCCUUCUUCAUUUUCAUAUCCAUUGAAACUCCAUAAACCAGAAUCAAAGGAACACUAACAUGCCUCACUCUCACUCUCUCUCUCUCUCUCUCUCUCUCUCUCUCUCUCUCUCUCUCUCUCUCUCUGUAUAUAUGUAUAAUUAUUCAUGGUUGUAAGUGUUAGAAUAUUAGGAAAAUUUGGUAACAAUCAAAUAAAAUGGAGAAUAAUAAGGAUAUAGUCAAUGGACUAGUUCUGUUUUGAGCUUAGUCAUAUGUUUUUGAAUUUUUGUUAGCUUGAGGUCAAUGGGCCUUCACAAGGGCUUUAAGGCUUGUUUAAUUUGUAUUUUAAUUUACGUUUCUACCAUGUUAUAACUAAAAACAUGCCAAAAUCACUCAAAAAUAAAAUUCAAACGUGAGAUUUGAUAUCUGAUCAGAUGCACCAACCUACAAUGUCGACCCUGUGGGAACAAAUAUUUCAGCGACCAAUGAGUGAGUGACACGUGGAAAAGGAAAAUUCCCUAGGUCAAAUAAUCAUUCUAAUUAAAUUCUAUUUAAUUAGGGAGAUAAUAUUUGAUUUAAAAUGGGAAUAUUUCCCUAAAUCAAGGAAGAGAUUUCCACCAAAUCUCCUUGAUUAAUUCCAAUCUCCUAUUUUUUGGGUAAAAAUAAUCAUGAUUAAAUAAGGAUUAUUCUUCAAACCCUCGAAGGCACGAGCUCUAUAAAUACAUGGCUACACAACAUACACAUGAGGUAAGUCUAAACUUAAUUCUGAAAACCCUAGAGAACUCUCUCUCUCUCUCUCUCUCUCCUUCACAUGGUUCCGGCCACCCGUCUCUCUCCGUGAUAGAUGACCUCCAACCAUUUUGUUACUUUGUCGUAUCUUCCUAAGAUCCAAUUAACUAACUUAGGCAUCGGAGGGCUUUUGGUCAACACCCCCUGGGUGUGGUCCAUUGACCUAGAUUUGUUUUACAGUAAGCGAGCAGGAAGAAGAAGAAGGGAGUUCGAAGGGUGAAGAAUCAAUCAGCGAAUAUUCCCCCGUGUGGAUAUUUGCAUAAACAUUUUGGUGCUUUCAUUGAAAGCAUCAAGUUAUACUCAAUGCAUCGCUCUUGAAUCAAAUGAAUCUAUUUCCUCAUAUUCAACACUGAACCAAAGCCUUCCAAACAACCAUGGUUGGAAGCAAGCGCACGAGAAGCAAGGCUGUUGUGACUCCGAGACGUACCCUAACCAUCGCAAAGACGCAGUGUCGAGCCAUCCACCACGCUCCGCCUUCGAAACCACGAAUUUUCCUCUUAGCCUCGUGGCCAUGGGUACGACUCCACAUGCCAGCACCAUGGCUAUCACCACUGUUCCAAACAUCACUUCUGCUCCUUCACUAGCCCUGUGGCCGAGAGCACCUUUUCGGCACACACCAUCGCACCUCCUCGUGGCCUCACGUCCAGCACUAACUUGCAGCAGCAAAACCUUGCGGCCGGAUCCAACAACCAUCCCUUUGGCCCCAUGGUCAAACUAGGGAAUUACCCUCAGGGGUCCACAGUUGGAUCCAAAGCGCAUAUUCAAGGUGGUGUCACCACCGUCCAUGGCUAUUUUGCCUCCACCAUAAGUCACGACCCAAUCUUGGAGCAAGUACUACCAUUCCCUCAUUUGCCGGUGCACUUGACAUUUGCUCCCUAUGCCUCCAACAAAACCCUAGCCCAUGUGCAAUUGGGCUCCAUACAAUUCUCUCUUCUUGAUCCUCGCAAUCAACCAUACCUCAAUCUCAAAGUCGACGAGUUAACUUAAAGAAUAGACAGCCAAAAUAACUUGGUUGGACAACUUCUCAAACAAAUUGAUUUGGUCUGAGACCUUGGCCUUAGAUUCCAAAGCGAAGAGAGAAUUAUGGAUAAAUGCACCAGCAAGCAGUUCAAGAGGUCUCAAUUAGGUCGAGCAAGAACCAGCAGGUGAUGAGGAAAAUAAGAACGCGUUUUUCAGCACUAAGGCAUGUUGCAAGCAUUAACAAGCCCUAACCAAAGUAGAUCAAGCCUCCAUUCAAGAUUAGGUGUAACACCCCGACUCCAAAUUAAAUGUUUAUCUUAAUCGAUUUAAAUAAAGUUACGAAUUUACCCUUGGGAUAGGGGUAAAUUGGUCACUUUCUUCUUCCGAAGGAUUUUGGAACCGUGGAUGGUAUUUCUGGGUAGGUGGUACUGAGACGAAUUCGUAGACACGCGGUAGGCUUGAAUCGGAGUUGUAACGAAAAAGUUACGGGCAAAACAUUGUUAGUGGCAAACUUGUAAAUAUUUCAAAAAAUUUUGGUAAAAAUCAGAUUUUUUCCUCAGUUCUCUCUCUCUCCUCGCGCGCGACACUCUCUCUCUCCUCAGUCUCUCUCUCUCUCCCUGACGUCCUCUCUCUCUCUCUCUCUCUCUCUCUCCUCGGUUCUCUCAGCUCCGGCCACGGCAGGACCCGAGACCGGACACAAAACAACUGGCCAGACCUCGCCGACGUUCCCCAGUCCACCUCUAGCCGCCAGCCGCCGCCUUCGCCGCCCAAACCCGGUGAUUGAGGUAUGGUUUCUCAUCCAUUUUUCGAGUUCUAGCUGAUGAUUGUAUAGGUUUUGAUCGAUUUUGAGUCUAGAAAACCGAUUAGAAAACCUAGGUUUUGGCCGAAUUUCAAAAUGAAAUUCCGGCCAGUUGCUGGCCGAAUUGGAACUUCCCGUAGUUGAAUGAAGUGAUCCUGACAUCGAGUAGAAGCUAGGGUAGGAAGGGUGAGCUCGGGUGUGGAGUUUUUCCGUCGCCGGAAUUACUCUACACACCCACGCGCUGCCGGCGCGUGUGGCGGCGCGUGGGCGAGGUUGGUGAGGAUGUAAAUUAACCCGAUGAGAUCCUUAGGUUGUCACGAGCGCAUAGGAAUUCGCGGAUCUCAAUUCGGAUGUCGUUUGACUAUCGAACGGAUUUUCGCAUAUUGUGCGUUAUCCGGGUUCGAUAGGUUCCGACCGUUAGAUCUUUCCCGAAUUAAAAUAUGUUGUUCUAGGAAUUCCUAGGACCGUAUGGGACUUCACGAAUUCUGAAUCGGAGCCCGGAUGUUCCGAUUCAAUAAUGCAAAGUUUGCGGGUUAGCGAUAACCGUAAAAACCGUGAACGCUUCCUAAACCUGUAACCGGACCUUAGGAUACCUUCUUCAAUGUGCACGUAUGGGGAAUUUGGGGAGUUAAGCAUUUAAUUUGUAAUUUUCGCUUAGACGUGAUUUUAUAUUAAUUAACGGUUCGUAUCUCGAAAUAGGUGUUUCGACUGCACGUACGCAGCAAGCAGGACCCGCACGUGGUCAGGCAGCGAGGGAAUACUUGUGAGUGGACUUGGUUUUAAUCAUAUGCAUGGUUUUAAUUGAUGAAAGAUUUUGCAUAAUGUUUUAAUGGCUUAUGGAAUUUAUAUAUUUUAUUCAUGAAUUGAUUUUGACGGUCGUAUAGCACUUGGCAAUAUAUUGUGAGUUUGGCAUUUUGAGUUUUUGAGAGUGCAAUUAUAUGGAUAAUGGGGAGGUAUAUUUAUAUAUUCUCUAUAGACGAGAUAUUGGGGUAGUUGGAGGUUGUUGUGGAAGAAUGUGGUUUUGGAGAGAAGUUGUGUGAUUACACUACGUAAGUACCUUCCCCAGUUACUAGUCUCACUCGCGGCGUUGGAUGUUCCGGCGUGUGAGACACUUUCCAUAUGCGGCGUUGGAUGUUCCGGCGUAUGGAAAGACUUUGUAUAGUGUUAGGGUCAUCACCAUGGCGUUGGAUGUUCCGGUGUGUGAUGAUCCAGUCUGCGCGCGUAGGACAUAGUUUGGGAGCUACACAUGGCGUUGGAUGUUCCGGUGUGGGAGCUUUGGAGUUUCGUCCCCCGGUUGGACCGCUCAUCCCUAGACGCAGGAUAGCACCUGGAAAUCCUACGGACUAGUCAACGAUCCCCCAGUUGGAUUGUUUUCCCCGGUACCUAGGUGGUGUGAUGUGUAUAUCGUAUAGAUAUUUAUAGUUAUAUUUAUAUUUAUAUAUAUGUAUAUUUAUAUGUAUAUAUAUAGUUGAGUGUGUAAGGAAUUCGAGUUUGUGUAGUAGUUUGACAGGAGUGGUAAGGUUGAGAGAAUGAGAUUCUUUUUGAAAGAGAUAACUGAUGUUUUUAGAAAAGUUUUAAUGAAACAUGUUUUGAGUAAUUAAUUAUUGAAUUGUGAACCUGUAUGACUUGCGCAUUAUUUUUACAUGGUGGGGUUACUAUAUUGUUUUUAACUGCGAAUCUGGUUUUUGUCCACUCACAUGUUUUCUGUUUUGCGCCCCCCAGCUAGUAGUCGCUCCAGGAAACGUGCAAGUGGUGUACGAAGCUCAAUCGGUGCAUCUUUCUAGUUAGGAACUGUGUAAUUUCCUCUACUCAACUGUUCUUGUAAUCUAAAUUCGGUAGAUGCUCUGUAUUGCCAUGCUAGAUUUUACUUGUGAGGCCGGAGGCCACUCUAGUAUGACUUGUAGAUGUAUGAAAGCAUGCUGCUGGUUGGGAUUAUUAUUUUGUGUGUAUGUUGCAGGUUGAGUAAAUUUUGUUGGGAUUGCUUAAAUUACAGGGGAGACUCUGCCAAAUUUUUGGUAGAAAGUCUCGAUUUCUUAGUAGGUGGGCCCGACAUCGGGAUGAUGUCGGAUCAAAGACGGGGUCCGCUUCGGUCUUCGGGAAAUUCCGUGGUGGGUCCUGUCAUUAGGUCCAAUGUUUAUGAGAGGCUGGGAGCACAAAAAAGCAUUCAUGAGAAGCUAGGGCCUUAAGGAGGUCAUCCCAUCGACCCUCGUCAAAUACGCGAAGAAGGAUGCUCACUGGCUCGCUUUGAAAAUGCUAGCUCACAAUGACAAGCCGAAGAGAACCCCUCAUAAGCUCAGUCUAUAAUACGCCACACAAGCAAGACAAUAGAGGAGGUCAGCCACCUAGAGGCAAUCAAGGAGUAGACCAGUACGCUCACUUCGUGGGAGACACAUACGUGAACUGUAAGCCUUGUGAACAGAACAUGUCGGGAAGCUCUGGAAUAACUGACUUCGAGACUUGAAAAUUGGAGGAGAUUUGGAGGAUGCUCCACGCAAGGAGAUUGACCAAGUGAACUUCUUUUCAUUCACUAGUGAGAUUGAGCAUGCGGCCCUGAGAGCCAUCUUUCAUGCCAUUCAAAUGGGAUUUAGAUCCCAAGAGCCAUCUGAAGCAUUUCAAAAGUGUCAUGAUUCUCUACAAAUCCGAGGAUGUGCUAAUGUGCAAGGUAUUUGCAAUGACCUUGAGAGGAGCAGCUCAAGCCUGGUUCCAUACCUUUUCGUCCGGGUCAAUCAACAACUUUAAAGAUCUAGCAGUCAUCUUCAAAAAGAAGUACACCUCCUACCAGAUGAUCAAGAUGCAACUUGACCACCUAUUCAACCUACAAAAGAAGUUCAAGGUGGAAAAAACUAACAUUAUGCGAUUCGAUGAUUGGAUUGCAUCCUCUGCUUUCAAGAAGGGCUUGCUAACUAAGCAUGACCUAUACCAUAAGCUAACCAUAGCUCUCAGCUAGACUCUGGCAGAAGUCUUUGCGACCACGGAUUGCUAUACAUUCUGGGAUGACGUUCGGAUUGCGGCCAAAAACUCCGCCAAGCAAGUCGACUAGCCAGCAGGUCAGAAAUGAGAUAGAGCCAGCAGCAGGAACCAGAAGGAAAGCUCAAGUCGUAACCCCAAGGGAGAGCCCCAACAUAUGAGAGCUACACUAAGUUCUUCAUCCCUAUGCAUCAAAUCUUAGCCAAAGUGAAAGACAAGGCUUGGUUGAAUAGACCACCACCCUUGAAAUCCAACUAAGAGAGAUACCAGUAGGUACUAUGCCUUCUAUGGGACACACGGGCAUUAUACAAAUAAUUUCUUUGUUGGAAAAAGCACAUCGAUGUGCUGGUUAGAGAGAAGGCCAUUGUAUGAAGUUCGUGGCAAAGAAGGUUAUCUAGUAGAUUGAGGACCGCGAUGCAGCCAAUGAGCCUCCCCAGAAGGUCAUAAGGAUUAACACAAUCCUGGUCGACUCCGAGUAGUCUAAGCUGACCAGUAAGGAAAAGAAAAGGAAGAUUAAGCAAGCAACUGUGAUGUCCCAAGCCUUAUCAUGAUUGUCUUCCAGAAGAAAGACUUGAUUGGGCUUGAUCUGUUGCACAAGAUGCCCUCGUCAUCAGCAUCUAGAUUGUGCAGGUUGUGAUCGACCGACUUCAUAUGGAUGAGGGCAGCGUUGCCAAUAUCUUGCAGUUGCGGUUGUACAGGCAGAUGGGCAUGGAGACCAGGAUCAACAACCCAACCAGGUCGCUAACUAGCUUCAAUAGAGAGACCUCGGUUACUAUGGGCAUGAUAGACCUUGAUGUUUACUCUUUCUGUUGACCAGCUUAUAAACAUUUAUGAUCAUUGAAGAAGUCCCCCUACAAUGGCAUUCUGGUAGACCACGGAUUGGCAAGAUCAAAGCCGUCACAUCCGCCACACAUUAGAAAAUCUGCUAACCAAUUCAACGGGGUGGUGUCGGUCUGAUCAACAGUGAUUAGGCAAUGGAGAGAAGGUGUUCAGCCCAAAGGUUGAAGAAAAGAAAGCAAGCCCAAUUUAUACCAGUAAGCCAAACAGAACAAGGAGUAGAGGAAAUAGAUCCAAUUCUUGACAGUCGAGCAAGGACCAAGAUGCGAGAAUUCGUUUGGAGGUCUUUCUUGAAGAAGGAUGGAGCCCCAAAAAGGACAUAGAGCGAGUACCCCUCGAUCCUGAUAAGCCAAAGAGAAAAAUGAAGAUCGGCUUGCGCUUAAGCGUACAAUAAAAGCUGGAGCUGACCAUCUUCCUCUAGAACAACAAAAAUGUGUUCUAACAUGCUUGGAAUCAAUCUGCGGAUCAUCUAUAAUCGCUUACAUGUCAACACAGCCAGCAAACUAGUAGGGCAGAAUAGACACAACUUCGCUCCCGAGCCGUCUUUCCAGUGACAUUGGUGACCAUUUCAGUCGAUCCAUGUAUGGAUUGCAAUCCUCUCCUCAUGAUAUUGCUGAUAGUAUAGGUUUUUCGGAUCGAUUUUAGUUUUUGAGAGUUGAUUUACGUACCCAUUUUAGGUCGGUGGUUUAACCAUGACUUCACCUAGUUCCAGCCACUUUGUGGCAAUGGUCUAAGACCAAAAGUUGUUCCUCGAGCAAGGACCAAGAUGCGAGAAUUCGUUUGGAGGUCUUUCUUGAAGAAGGAUGGAGCCCCAAAAAGGACGUAGAGCGAGUACCCCUCGAUCCUGAUAAGCCAAAGAGAAAAAUGAAGAUCGGCUUGCGCUUAAGCGUACAAUAAAAGCUGGAGCUGACCAUCUUCCUCUAGAAUAACAAAAAUGUGUUCUAACAUGCUUGGAAUCAAUCUGCGGAUCAUCUAUAAUCGCUUACAUGUCAACACAGCCAGCAAACUAGUAAGGCAGAAUAGACACAACUUCGCUCCCGAGCAGUCUUUCCAGUGACAUUGGUGACCAUUUCAGUCGAUCCAUGUAUGGAUUGCAAUCCUCUCCUCAUGAUAUUGCUGAUAGUAUAGGUUUUUCGAAUCGAUUUUAGUUUUUGAGAGUUGAUUUACGUACCCAUUUUAGGUCGGUGGUUUAACCAUGACUUCACCUAGUUCCAGCCACUUUUUGGCAAUGGUCUAAGACCAAAAGUUGUUCCUCUAGUAGUGAUUGACCUAAUGGUAUGAAGAUUAGCCGGUGAUUUGGAGAUUGGUCGUCGCUAGAAAAUCUCUCAAGCCACCCACCUCUGCCGGAGGUGUGUGGGCCACCUUGUAGUGGCCCAUUAUGUUCUAAAAUGUUCCCCACGUUGUCUCGAGCAUGAAAGUAUGCUCGGAUUUGAAUUUGGUUACCGUUUGACUAUCAAACGGAUAUUGCGCCUAUUAUGCGAUAUCUGGAUUCGAUAGGUUUGAACUGUUCGAUCGGUUCCAUUUUCAAAUAUGUUCUUCCCUAUACCUUUAGGAUCUAGUAGGAACUUGCAGAUCGAGAAUCGGAGUCUUGGAUACUCCGAGUCAAUGAUUCUAGGGUUAGACGAACCGAUGCUUUUUGAUUGUGCGAUUGGCUUAGAUUCAAUCACUCGAUUGAGACCGAACCCUCGAGACAAUGAUUUUGUAUAUUGAAUAUUAUGUUUUGGGUUAUACUAUUUUCGAACGAGUUUAUGAGUUUGACUUUUUCUUUAAUAUGGUUUCUGUGGAUUUCAUAAGGGAGAGUGUAUUUUAUUAUAUAUAUUUGUUUAUGAAAUUGAAUUUUAGAUUUUGGCUAAUGCACGCCAUUAUAUGUACCUCUCCUUGGAUAUUGAUAUUUAGAUACAAUGGAUACUUGGAUAUGUCGAAACUCGAGCACCCUUCGAGGGGUGUGCCGUAGGCCCUUGACAGGCAGUUUGCACGUGUAAGACUUGUUUCAGCCGCACGUGCAAUGUGUUGCCGGCAUGUAUGCUGUAGAGCAAUAGUCCCCCCGGUUGGACUGCUCAACUCUAGUCAUAGGAUAAUGUGAUGCUAUCCCGUGGUCUAGUCAAUAAGGAUUAAAAAGAAUAAGUUGACAUUGUUUUCCAAGAAUUUGAGAAGUAUAAAUUUUAUGGUUUUCCUUAUCAUAUGUUAUGACAUGAACUUACUGAAUUGACUUAUUUUCAAGUAUCGGAUGGUAUAUAUGCACGUAUAUAAAAGGAUUUUGUUGCACAGUGUUUUGACAAUAUUUUCUAAAGCGGAGGAGGUUAUUUAUGUUGAAUAUAAAUUAUGUUUAACGCUUUGUUUUCAUCCACUCACUUUUUUUGUUUUGCGCCCCCUAGGUUCUAGAUAUCUGAAGUCGAGACCACCACGUCGAGGCAUCAUCGUUGUCCGCUCCGUAAGCUCACACCAUAGGAACUUUCCUUUAUCUUUCUCUACUUUCCUUUUUUCCGGGUUAUAAACUUAAUCUUUAGUUACUCUGCUUGCUUGUUUUGAGUUUGGGUAGAGGGCGUAAAGUCCAUUUGAAAAGUCUUAACGGUCGUGUGUGCUUUAACUUGUGCAUGCUGAAAGUUUGGACUAUUUCUGUACUUGUUUGCAGGUACGGUAUUUUGGGGAAUGUUCCAAUUAUGGGGUAGACUUUGUCGAAAUUUCGACAGAAGUCGAAGUCUUUAUUAGUUUAAAUUAGGGAAAAAGAAUGUUUUAGAAAAGUGAGUCCGAUAUCGAUUAGAUGUAGGAUGGAAAGCAAGGUUCGUCACGGAUUCUGAGGGGAAAUCCUGGGUAGGUCCUAUUAGAGAGCAUGCCAGUCAACUCAGCAUUCUUCUUCUCCAACUCUUCGAGCUGAGCAGAAGAGGGGGCAACUCAGCCUUAACAUAAAAAAUCACUCCCUUUUGAAAUAAAGCGACUGCCACUUCCUUUUGCUUCUCCAAGAAAAGGCUUGGCGUAAACAGACGGGCUUGAUAAGAAGUUCUUCUUAAGUAGAUCACACACACACACACAUCCCUAGCAAAGUUAGGCUUGUCAACCUUUGGAUCAACAGUCCAUGCAUCUAAAGGACCCUUCCCCUGAGCAGAUGACUACCAAGUCUUUUUCGUUAGUGACAUUAUCACAUCGAAGAAAGUCAAUGAUUUAGACCAGCUCCAAGCUUGACCUCUCUCAACUCGGUAGAUGCAGAUGACUCAAACUUCUGUGACAAAAGUCAGCAGUCCUCUGCUUCUCGGCAGGUGAAGUAGAUCAAGAGAAUAUGUCUUGGCAGGGCAGAUCACAGCUUUAAAGUUGAAGACUUGAGCAAAAUGUCGUGGACUUUAUGCACUCCACCAACCUUCUUAUUGUACAUGCCUACAAGAUGCUUGACCUUGGCAGACGACAAAGCAGUUCUCUGCUUCUUGGCAGGUAAACUAGAUCAAGAGCAUACGUCUUUGCAGGGCAGAUCACAGGUUUUGAGCUUUUUAGUUGAAGACUUGAGCAAAAUGUCGCGAGCGUUAUGCAUGCCACCAACCUUCUUGUUAUCCAUGCCUACAAGUUGCUUGACCUUGGUAGGCGAAAAAUAAGCAGCUCUCACUUGAGUCUUCUUAGCAGACAACACCUCUUUUGAAGAAGACUUGAUCACAGUGAAAGGAAGUCUCGGCUUCUUUCUUAAUAAAGACGCAUCUCUUGCUCCUGAGGUUGUAGCUUUGUCUUUGGAAGACUUAGGAGCAACUUUCCUCUUUCUAAGGGGGUUCGGUCAAGGACUACUCCCAUUUGUCAGUUAGAUCAUCCGAAUCAGGACCAUACUGCUUCUACCUUGCAACUUCCCUGGUAGGGGUAGGCGACCAAACUUCUUUCGAUGCUCGCUCAACAACCAGCACCAUUUGCAAAACCUUGCAGGGAUAUUCAAGGCUCGAUGGACCUUAGCCAUGUCCAGUCCGAGAUCCAGCUUCUUGCUGAUAUCCUUCUCUACAAGUAAAGACAGAAGUCAGUGAGUCACACAUGAAAGAAUUCAAAUAAAAUUGAAGCAAAUUAAUAUAGUAUGACAUACCAUUGCAGUAGGUGAUGGGAACGAGUAGAAUGUCGCCUACGUCACCUUCCCACCUUCCGCUCACCUCCUUAGCUGAGAUUGUCAAACAGCUUAGGAUUGCACACAUAAAGUUGGGCAUACUUCUUGCAAUGUCUCACAUUGAAGAAGUAAAAGAACUCUCGUAUAGUCAAGCCCAGCUUAAAGAAGCAGUUUAGGUUAUUAAAGCAGAUGAUUACCUGUUAUAUGUUUAAAGUACAUUGGCUUGGGGUACACUCCAUGACACAAAAUGCCUUCCUAAAAAACUUCGACAGGGGAAACGUGAAGCCUAAGGAAAACUAGAAGGGGUAGAAGGUGAUGAUCAUGGCAUCCGGAUCAUUCGGGUCCAGCGAGGCACGUCAACAAUUCAAGGAUUCGACAACCAGACAUGCAUGUCACCUGGUAUAACUGAGGAAUAGGUGGGUGCCACUUCUAGAAGUGAGCCUCAGUUAUGACAUAAUGCAAGUUCGCCACGAAUCUUUUCUUAUACACCUUGGAACCACCCCACACGUACAAGGGCACUUGUGAUCUAGGUGAUCGGCUUCCCUUGUGAAAUGACAUGGUUGUUGAACAUCUACAAAAAGGAGAAAAUAACAAGUUAGAUAGCAAGUCAAAAUCCUAACUUGCGGUGCAAGACAAAAAUAACAAAAAGGAGAAGGCCACGCAGUCCAAGCAGGCAAUGCAGCCUCUUGGCCAGAGCCGAGCGACAACCUAUCUAGCAGGUCACAACUUAUCUAGCUCCAGUAAAAAAAAGGGCUAGCCAUCAUCCGGUGACAACCACCAGCACUCACAAUUAUAUUUGCAGCAUAGCCCAGUUGCUAAACUGCAGCAAAAGUCGCAGUCCAAUAGCCAGGCUCAUGCCGUACACGGCAAAAGAAAAAAAAAGAAAAAAAAAUAAAGCGGUCGUAAUCACUGCCAUCAGAAGCGGCCACAGUUGCGCUGCCAUAGUCUAAUCGUUCUAGCCACCACGCUCCCUGCUAUCAUAAAACAACAAUGACAAUUAACUGGUCCUCGCCGGCAAGAGCAAAAAAAAAAAAAAAAAAAAAAAGUCACUGCAGCAGCCACCAGCGACCACUGCCACAGUCACAGCUGGUCACCCUAGCUGCCCCAUACAAUCAUGACGACAACUGACCGGGCCUGCGCCAGCUGGUCCUCGGCACGAAGUUAAAUGAAAAUUUAAAAAAAAACAAAAAAACAAAAAGACAAGCGUGACCUACCUCAGUGUGCACGACAACUCCUCUCCUCAACAAGUAGUACACUCAAGCAAGAUCUCUCUCACAAGUUAGAAAUUAGAGGAAUACAAGUUUUCAAUUUGAAGAGAAGCCUUGUAUUUAUAAAGGUUGGGCAUCUUAGGUCAAAAUGAAAUCACAAGCCUAUUCCAAUUGGGAGCCCAACUCCAAGAAGAAACCAAAAACCUCUUCUAGUCAGGAGCCCAGUUCAUAAAAGGAAGCCCAGACACAGUUGGAAAGCUCGAUAAAUAUUUCUCACAUCCUCCAUGUCAUGCAUGUGCCAUGCAGAAGUUGGAGGGCAUUUGUGGGAACAAAUAUUUCGGUGACCAACGAACGAGUGACACGUGGAAAAGGGAAAGUCCUUAUGUCAAAUAAUCAAUCUAAUUAAAUCCUAUUUAAUUAGGAAGAUAUUAUUUGAUUUAAGAAGGGAAUAUCUCCCUAAAUCAAGGAAGAUUUCCACCAAAACUCCUUGAUUAAUUCCAAUCUCCUAUUUUUUUGGUAAGAAUAAUUCUAAUUAAAUAAGGAUUCUUCUUCAAACCCUAGAAGGCAUGAGUUCUAUAAAUACAUGGCUACACAACACACACAAGGUAAUUCUAAAAUCAAUUCUGAAAAUCCUAGAGAACUCUCAUUCUCUCUCUCCCUGCACGCCACUCUUUCUCUCUCUCUCUCUCUCCUUCACACGGCUCUAACCAAAACUGAUAGGACUCGGCCCAAAUUCCACUUUGGAAUCCGAGCCGAACCCUGUGCGUGUCUGACACCUGGCAAAUGCCGGGCACAAAUGACCAACUUGCCCUUCUAACUAGAAACCAAUUUUUACUAUCAAUUAGACUUAUGCCGAAAAUUCGACAGAGUCUCCCCUGUAACUUGCUCGUUUCCCAAAAGUUUCCACUUGUAUCCAAGCAAUCAAGCAUCAUAUCAUUUUGGCAUCAGCCUCAACAAAUCAAAUAAAUCAUUCUUCUAAUAAAAUUCGAUUCUAAAUCUUAGAACAUUCCCAGAACAAUGUUAGGUUUCAAAAUAACUUAACUGGACUGCUUUCAAUCACUUGACCUCGCGGCUGCAUCUAGAAUUCUAGGUUUCCUACGUACCCUUAAUAAGGGAUCAAACCACACGUAGUUCUUUCCCUUUAAUAAUGUAAUUGAAUAUCUUAUUCAUUCAUCAUAUUGCCAUGUGUUUUACAAAUCAAACUGAAUUCUCAUGUGCGUGAUGUACUCACAUAUUCACAACUCUAAAACAAUACUUUGCAACUUCCCAAUACUCUUAACAGUCAUAUACUGAUUAUAAAUAAGCCAUACAUUGAACUCCCUCUACAUAUUUUGAUCGUAACUUCCUCAAUACAACUCGGAUUUGAGCCCACUGUGUGUUUACGGACUUAUCUCGAAGUGCUCUACAUAACAGUUUGAUCGAAAUUUCCAAAUUCUUUUUCGAUAAAAAAGGUCAACUUUUAAACCCAUUAAAAUAUUCAGGGGCAAGAUAGUCUUUUAUCAUAAUAAAUUAAUAAUUAAAUAUUAAUUUUAGUUCUGGUUGUCACAAAAACACACUCGACUCCGACCACCUGGUUUUCUCCAUGAGAGAAGAACUCCAUCCUUUUCGUUACUUUGUCGUAUCUUCCUAAGAUCCAAUUAACUAAAUUAGGCAUCGGAGGGCCUUUCGCCAACACCCCCAUGGGUGUGGUCCAUUGACCUAGAUUUUUUUUAUAGGGGGCGUAAAGGAAGAAGAAGAAGGGAGUUCGAAGGGUGAAGAAUCAAUCCGUGAAUAUUCCCCGGUGCAGUAUUGCACAAAUAGCCCCAACCCCACCUUCGAUCCUUCUAGUCUCAACCACCUCCACAACCACCGCCACCUAGGUCGGCUCCGCCCAAUCCUAAGCCCCGAUCGCCACCCCAGCCUUUUGCACCUUCCUCAACCACAUUUGAGAAAAUCUUCGUAGCCUCUACCAGUGCCACCCAUGGUCUGAGCUCUUUGACCACUCCACCUUCGCCAAGCAUGAGUCGCUCUUGGACACCACUAGUCGGAUCCACAAGAACUAGUCCAAGCAUGAGGUUUGAUAUAUUCUCUCUCUCUCCCUCUCUUUUCAUUUUUUUUGAAACAAAUUCUCUUUGUUUUCUUUGGUAACACAGAGGAUCCAAAGAUUAGUAUUGGAUUUAUUCUUAUUUAAUUAAUUAAUCAGCCAUAGACUAGAUUAUAUAUGACUUUGGUGAGCCUAAUUUUCUGUGCAUGAUAUGCCAAAAGACAGAGUUGAGGGUUAUAAACUUGUAUGUGUAAUUUGGGAUGAGGUUUUGAUGGUUAAGAUAUGGAAGAUGUCCUAAGUCUGCAGGGAACUCAAAUUUGGGAUAGGUUAUAUAUACUUGUAGGACAAUGAGUCUACUGGAAAAUACGUGUACUUGUGGCAAUGUGCUUGUGGUAUUCAUGUAUUGAAUGAUUACAGAACAGUCCAGCAACUGGAAUAUAGGUCCUUACAAGCAUCAAAAGUUGGAAAAUGAGUGGAAUUGGAGACUCAUAUAUAAUGUUAGGAUAUGUUCACAUGUUAGGAUUUCACUUUUUGUACACAUUGCAUUGCAAUUUCAUUUAAUUACAUUUGGCUAAAUUGUUUUAUUAUUGGAUAUUGGUAUGAUUUUUGAAGUCAAUGAAAAUUAUACAAUUGUGUAAUCAAUGGAUAUGCAUUUUUUACUUUGUUUCGUUGCUUAUUUUCAUGAUGAAUUUGAUUUUCGGUUUUUGUUUUUGUUUUUUUUGUUCUUGUUAUUUUGGUUGCAACUUGAUUAGAAAUUGCAGCGCAGUUUCUGAAUGUUUAAGUUAAAAUUAUUAAGCCCAAUGAUGAUUGGAUAUUAAAAAGAAGUCUGUCUGAUUUUGAACCUAUAUGUUUGUUUGACUUAGUUUUAAUACUUUGAUCAUAGCGCUUGCCUUUUUGUUGCUUUACAAUUUUGUUUAAUUUAUUCACAAACAUUUCUUUGCGGUUUCUGUUUAAUGCUUUUUUGUUUUGUUUAUUUUGUUACUGUUAUUGUUAUGUUUUUAUUAGAUUGUACAUUGAUCAUUGUUAUUAAAAUACACAAUGCAUUACAGUUUAUAUUUCUAUAGAAUUGGUUUUUUUUGUUGUUGUUGCAAUUUCUUUCAUAUUUGGAAUCAUGAAAAAAGAACUGCUCAGUUUUGCACACACAACAUUGCAGUUUUGCACACAAUGCGUUGCAGUUUUCAUUUAAUUACAAUUGGCUAAAUUUUUUUUAUCUUUGUAUAUUGGUAUGAUUUUUGAAGUUAAUGAAAAUAGUACAAUUGUGUCAUCAAUGGAUAUGCCUUUUUGACUUUAUUUAGUUGCUUGUUUUCAUGAUGGCUUUUUUUUUUACAUUGUAGAUUGAUCAUUAUUAAAAUACACAAUGCAUUGCAGUUUUUUUAUUUUUUAUUUUUUAUUUUUUAUUUUUUUAUUUUAUAGAAUUGGUUUUUGUUGCAUUUUAUGUUUUUGUUUGCUAUUUUUGUUUACAUCAUUGAUAUGUACAUUGUUUUGCGUUGCAUAAAUAUAGAGCAUGAGGGAUUUGAUACAAAUCUUGUGUGAAUCAGUGUUGAAUUUUUUUUUUUCAUUUAAAAAAGCUGUUUAAUGUUAAUAUAAUAUUGCAUAACUGAACAAAUAUCACAAAAACAAGGUUGGUGUAGUGGUUUGUGAAUGAAGAUUUUCUCCUUUGAGGGUUGUGUAAUUUUGAGGUUUUUGACUUCAAAUGAAAUAAUGAAAUAAUUUAAAUAAGCUUCAGUGCCAUUCCUUCUAAUUUAUAGGAUUUAGUAAUUUUAGGUACAUUUAUUAGUCUUUGACCUCAAGUAAAUUAGGUGAAAUUUAUUUUUUGUCUAUCACAAUAAUAAACUCUAUAAUUAAUGACUAUAAACCAAAGCUCGCAAAAAUAUUUUGUAGUUCUCUUCAGGGUGCAAACAUAUACAAUUUACAUAUAAGAAGAACAAUAAGAACAAUAAAUAAGAAUAAAAUAUUGGUACAAUAAAGUAAAUUCAGGACCUCUACUUUGAUUUAUGAUACAACUUGGCUUUUGAGCUUGUUAAUAUGGUGAUGUAUAAAUACAAGUUAGUCAUGGUUGAUAUAUACCAAUAAUAUUGUGAUAUGUAUUAUCAAUCUAACUGUUACAUACACACAUAUAUAUAUAUAGUUGUUUCUUUUAUCGGGAUGUCCGCACGAUAAUAAUAUCCGAACUUCUGCAUAAGAGAAUUUCUAUAUAUAUACAUCUCCUUCUAUUAAGGGAUUCCCUAAAUAAUUUUAUUUGAGGGACACCCUUUAGGGUCCCUUACGAAUUGUUUUUUAACAAUUAAUCCAAACAUCUAUUUUUUAAGUCUACAUUCAUAGAUCAUUUUUGUAAAAAAUUAGACACAUUGAAAACGGUUUUGACAUCCAAUUGUAUCAUACAAAAUCAAUACAUGAGGCUUCAAGAAAGUACUAAAAUUUCAAUAACCCAAUUACGUGGUCAAAUGAUAUCGGAUUCAAGUGAUUUUUAGUAGAGAUGAUCUUUGAAUGAUUAUCUAAAAAAUAGAGAUUUGGAUUGGGAAAAUACAAUGUGGAGUGAGCCCUACAAGGGUGCCCCUCAAAUAAGAUCCCUCAAAUAAUUUUACAAGGGAUCCCUCAAAUAAUUUUAUUGAGGGACACCCUUUAGAGUCCCUUACGAAAUUUUUUUCAAUCCAAACAUCUAUUCUUCAAAUCUUCAUUCAUCGAUCAUCCUUUCAAAAAUUCAUGUAAAUUGAAAAUCAUUAAAGCAUCUAAUUGAGACCAACAAAAUCAAUGAACACGGUACUUCAAGAAAGUACUUAAAUUUCAAUAAUUUAAAUGAUUAGUCAAAUGAUAUCGGAUUCAAGUGAUUUUUUGUAUAGAUGAUCUUUGAAUGAAUAUCUACAAAAUAGAAGGUUUGGAUUAGUGAAAUACAAUGUGGAGUGGGCCCUACAAGAGUAUCCCUCAACGAAAGCUCUCUGUAUAUAUAUAUGUGUAUUUAUUUAAUGAUAUAAGUUACUUAAUCAUCACAUAUUAUUUUUUUCUUUGACGCCGGCAAUUGUCCCCACAUUUCAAUUCUUACAUCCAUUUAUAUAAUACAUAUAAAUGUCAUUAGCAGCAUGCAAAACGAAGAUUUUAUAUGAGCAUUAUUUUUGACUUGAUGCAUUGCCCAUGGAUUUCUUCUAGCAACCAAAUAUCCAUCUGAUCAUAUCGUAUCAUAUUUUAUGAGACUAUGAUGCGGCAUUAGACCAGAAAAGGUCACCAUUAGACCAGAAAAGGCUAUCAUUUCUCCUCCUGUGCCAUCAUUUCCCCGCAAAGCCCACGAAAUUGCCAAAAAAUAGAAAGCUAGCAAACAAUAAUAAAGUGGCUCCCACACACUUAACUAAACAAUAAUUUGGGCUAAUAUUCAACAAUAAUUACCUGUUAUUUAUUUAUUUAUAAAGAAUCUUCAACAGGCCAUUGUCCCCCACUUUCAAUUCAGAGCAUGCAAUUGGCCUUCGCAUCGAUGAUCACUUGGAAGAAAGUCGUUGCCAAUAUGCAAAUGCAGGUCCAUCGAUUUGACAUAUAUCUACCGAGCUCCUGUCAAACGCGGCUUUGACCUCUAAGUCGUGCAAUAGAAAUGCAGCAGCUGCUUCCCCAAAGCUAGCUAGCGGAUUGAAGAAGUGUGUCUAAAAAUUCUCUCUCCAUGGCAAGCACUUGCAGAAUAUGUGUUCUCGUUAUAGUAAGUGUAUUAUUGCUUGGUCUUGGUGCCUUGUUUGCCUAUCUUUUUUGUGGUACAUUAUACCAAAUAAAUAGUACAUUAUUUACGGAGAGCCAUCCUAAGUGCAUCUCAUCUGCCUGCGGUAACAUCCACAACAUAACCAGCCCUUUUCGACUAGCCAACGAUCCAAAUCAAAGCAACUGCAACUGGAAUUACCACCUCUUUUGUCACAACAACCUCACAGUAUUGAGAGUACAUCGGGGAAACUACUCUGUGCAGGCAAUCAACUACGACAACUUCACAAUCCGAGUUGUAGAUCCUGGCAUUCGCAACAAUAAUUUCUCCUCCAUCCCCCGUUAUUCGCUUUCCAUUUACAACAUCACUUAUUACAAUGAUUUUGAAUUAGCAUCAAGUACAACACCUAUAACUUUCUUCAAAUGUGCAAAAACAGUGAACUCAUCUGUGAUGAGAACGCAUAAUUAUGUCAAGCAAGGGAAUAUAACGGCAUCAGAUAUGGAGGACGGGUGCAGAAUAGAGUGGACGACUUUGAUGAGUAAGUCGUUCUUGUACGAAAAGAACAGAAACUUUUCUUAUCAUGACAUACACAGCGCACUGGGGUAUGGCUUUGAGCUUCAAUUCCGCUUUCGCAGAAUAGAGUGGACCCGCUACAAAUUUGGUUUGUGAAUUACUUGCUAUAUUCCAAGUCUACAAUUUCUUACUCAAACUUUCUGAAUUUCUCCAAAUGUCACUUGUUUAAAUCUAUCAUCUAUGACUUUUUGUUACACUUUAUUUCUCAUUUUCAAUCAUUUGUUUUGUUUAGUUUUACUUGAAAUAAGGCGAUACAGGGCUGAAAACCAGAAAGACAUAUGGAAAAAAUACGUCAAAUAUUCUUGAAAAUAAAAAUUCUACCAAUUUUAAAUAGUUUUAUUACUUGUAUUUUGUCCGGCUACUUUAAUUGCUUUCUCUCUUCUUCACCUUCCUCAUAUGAUGUAGUAUGCUAAUUAGUCUUAGUCAACCAUUAAGCAGGGCAGAGUAUAUAUAUUUGUGCUUCGAAAUUUCAAACUUAUGUCAAGUCUUUGAUUUUGGUCACUUUUUCUUGUAUCUCUUGCAGAUAUUUACGAUUGGCUGAUACUCGGUAAGAGUUUGCAUAUUCCUUUAGUACAGAAUUGCCUAUCAGUCAGUAGAGAAAACAAAUGGAAGCAAAGAGGAAGGUUAUGACGCACAUAUAUUAUAUCCAAUAAAACAUGUCAUUUGUGAUUCUUUUUGUGAUGUUGCUUUGCAGGAGCAUAUCUCCCAAUAAGAUCUAUAUUUGGGGUUCCAUUUCUGGCUGCUCUUCUAAUCUACAAACGCCGAAGAAUGCAUUUGUCAAUGUAUAGCAGCAUAGAAGAAUUCCUACAAAGUGAUAACAACCUCAUUCCGAUAAGGUACUCUUACUCAGAUAUUAAAAAGAUGACCAGCAGAUUCAAUGAGAAGUUGGGUGAAGGAGGUUAUGGCUCUGUAUUUAAAGGAAAGUUACGCAGUGGUCGAUUUGUAGCAGUUAAAAUGUUGGAGAAGCCUAAAGCUAACGGACAAGAUUUCAUAAGUGAGGUAGCUACUAUCGGGAGGAUUCACCAUUUUAAUAUGGUUCAACUUGUUGGUUAUUGUGUUGAGGGAUCAAAGCGUGCCCUAAUUUAUAACUUCAUGCCUAAUGGGUCUCUUGAUAAAUACAUUUAUUACAAAGAAGGAAGCAACCCCUUAGGUUGGAAGAAAAUGUAUGAAAUUUCUCUUGGAGUGGCUCAAGGGAUCGAAUAUCUACAUCGAGGUUGUGACAUGCAAAUUCUACAUUUUGACAUCAAGCCUCACAAUAUUCUUCUUGAUGAGAAUUUCAUCCCAAAAAUUUCUGAUUUUGGGCUUGCAAAGCUAUAUCCUGUAGGUAAUACCAUCGUCUCUUUGACGGCAGCAAGAGGAACAAUGGGAUACAUGGCUCCUGAGUUGUUUUACAAAAAUAUUGGAGGUGUCUCAUACAAAGCUGAUGUCUAUAGUUUUGGAAUGUUGUUGAUGGAAAUGGCAAGUAGAAGGAAGAAUUUGAACGCAUCCAUAGAGCAUUCAAGCCAAAUUUAUUUUCCUCUUUGGGUCUCAGACCAAUUUUGCAUGGGCAAAGAGCUUGAGAUGGAUGAUGCUACAGAAGACGAAAAGAAAAUAAUAAAAAAGAUGAUUAUAACUGCUUUAUGGUGUAUACAAUUGAAGCCAAGCCAUCGUCCUUCGAUGAACAAAGUUAUAGAGAUGCUUGAGGGAGAGGUUGAAUGCCUGCAACUCCCUCCCAAGCUUCUUUUAUGUCCAUGAUGUAGAACAAAUGGAUGAAUGGAUUGAAGAAGAAUUGGAGCGAAGAAUGGCAAAAGGACGCAGCAGGAAUUUACAGAUUUGAUGUCCGAUUGGGUCGCAUAAAAUUUUCUUGAAAAGGAGCGACGCCACGUGUCCAACUCACCACUUUUUUGUGACAUAAGGUAGAUUUUGGGCUUUCAAAAAUGCAUUUAAAGAUUGUAAUUAAUUUAUAGACUUCCUGUUUAUUUUGUUUUAAGCUUUCAAUAACUCCCUAGGGCUGUCCAAUUGGUGAGAAUGAUGUAUUUAGAUGGCUGUCAUGUAUGGUUGAACUCAACUCAUGUUUUAUCAAAUAAUACAGACAAUGAGAAUUUUCUCUCUAACUUUCUAGUGGAUUCCAGGUUUAUGUUCUUUUUCUAAGUUACGCUUGUAACCUAUUUGCUUGUGCUGCGUCAGUCCACAACAAGAGAUGCCCAGAGACCAUCUUCAUGGUAAUUCGAAUCCGAUGUGUUCUAACACAGAGUUAACUCGAAACUUUCUGAAUUUCUCCAAAUGUCACUUGUUUAGAUAUAUGAAUUUUUGUUCGGCUUUAUUUCUCAUUUUCAAUCAAGGGAUACGUGAAAUAUUAUUUAAAAAUAAAAAUUCUAACAAUUUUAAAUAGUUUUAUUACUUGUAUUUUGUCUGGCUACUUUAAUUCCCUUCUCUCUUCUUCACCUUCCUCAUAUGAUGUAGUCUGCUAAUUAGUCUUAGUCAACCAUUAACCAGGGCAGAGUAUAUAUAUUUGUGCAUAGAAAUUUCAAACUUAUGUCAAGCCUUUGAUUUUGGUCAGUUUUUCUUGUAUCUAUUUCUCUUUGCAGAUAUUGAAGAUUUCCUAAUACUCAGUAAGAAUUUGCAUAUAGUUUUAGUGCAGAAUUGACUUUCCUAUCAGUCAAUAGAAAAAAUAGAGGUUAAUUUCAGUUUGGUACAAACUGAACUCUCACCCUUAAGGCAUGUUUGUCCCUACACUCUCAAUUGUAACAAUGAAGUAUUUUAUGUUCGAACCCCUACGUCUCCCAACCACCUACUGAGCCUUAUCCAACCCGCUGCGAAUGAGUUUGUGUGUAUAGCUACGACGUGUAAUAUUUAUAAGGUCUUUAAAAUGUCUGCAAGCUAAUAUUAUCUAGGAUAAAUUUCCAUAUAAAAAAAAAUUCCCUAAGGAUAAAUUUAGUAUAAUGUUAAUUAUUAUUUUAUUAUGGAUUUGUAUUUUUAAUUUUUUUUGGUUAUAUAUUAAGGAGUUGUAUUAUUAUUCACUAUUGAAAUUUAAUAUUGUUCAUUAUAUGUGAUACUAAGUUUGAACUUUAAUAGGAAUUCUUUUUAUGUGGUACUAAGUUACUCAUACAUUUUAUCUUUGUUUUUUUGGUCAAGCUCAUAUAUCUUAUCAUAUGUAUCAAGUGUAAUAUAUUAUAGUACAUUAUUAUAACUAAAAAAUUAUGGUGUGUUAAAUUUUCUUUCACUAAUUACUACAUAUUUUCUAAAGUCACAGUAUUUGUCAAGUCGCUUCAUAAUCAACUUAAAUCACUCAAAUCCACCAUGCCAUGCAUUUCUUUCCAUUUUUUUUUGGUGAUAAAAUAAUAGACAAUUAACUAAGUCAACAUCCUCUAAAGUUUCAAGGCCAAAAGUUACUUUUGGUCCCUGUAGUUUGACAUUUCAACCACCUUUGAACUUGUAGUUUGAAUUCCGUCAAUUUUUCCAUUGUAGUUUCGUAUUUGUAGCAAUUCAAGGACAUGUUAGUAUUCUUGUCAAUUUCUUUAACGAUGCAAGGGGCAAUUUCGUCAACCCAAAACCCUUGAGCAUAAAAGCUUGUUUGAAAUUCUCCCCGUUUCAUAUUAGGGCUCAAAAUUCAACCACUAAUCCCAAUUUUUGAAUAACCCUAAACCCAAAUGACCAAUUUCAAGCCCUAAUAUGAAAUUAGGGUAGUUCCAGACGAGCUUUUAUGCUUAAGGAUUAUGGGUUGAUGAAAUUGCCCCUUGCGUCGUCCAAGAAAUUGAUAGGAAUACUAACUUGUCCUUAAAUUGCUACAAAUACGAAACUAUUGGGUCAAAAUUGACGGAAUUGAAACUACAAGGUCAAAAGUGGUUGAAGUGCCAAACUAUAGGGACCAAAAGUGACUUUUAGCCACGUUUCAACAAAAACUUCCAAGUUUUCUCCCAAUUUCCAUGAUUUUUAUUCAAUUUUUAUUGAUAUCGAUAUUUCCAUUGAUAUAUCCGUGCUUUUGGAUCACCGAUAUUUCCGAAACUCUCGAUAUUUUAGACCUUGCUUCUAGCGAUAUCUAUGGUAGCACUGCCACUCUCUCCUCCUUGUCCCACCCCAGCCCGACUGCUUCCUCCCACACCUCCACCAGCCCAAUGAGCACAACCUAGUAGCCUCACUCCAAACCCCGACCUGUUAGACCCCGACAAUCCAACACUCUCGUUGGUUUAGGUAUUGCAUGAAUUUUUUUUCUUCACUUUUUUGAGAGUGCAGAGACAAAUACAGGGUACCAAACUGAAAUUAAUCCAAAAAAAAACAAAAAACAAAAAAUGGAAGCAACCUGAAGAAGGUUAUGACGCACAUAUAUUAUAUCCAAUAAAGCAUGUCACUUGUGAUCCUUUUGUGAUGUUCCUUUGUAGGAGCAUUUUUCCCAAUAAGAUCUAUAUUUGGGGUUCAUGUCUGGCUGCUCUUCUGAUCUACAAAUGGCGAAGAAUGCAUUUGUCAAUGUAUAGCACCAUAGAAGUUAAAGGAAAGUUAUGUAAUGGUCGAUUUGUAGCAAUUAAAAUGUUGGGGAAGUCUAAAGCAAAUGGGUAAGAUUUCAUAAGUGAGGUAGCUACUGUUGGGAGGAUUCACCAUGUUAAUAUGGUUCAACUUGUUGGUUAUUGUAUUGAGGGAUCAAAGCGUGCCCUUAUUUAUAACUUCAUGCCUAAGGGGGCUCUUGAUAAAUACAUUUAUUCCAAAGAAGGAAGCAUAUCUCCAAGUUGCAAGCAAAUGUAUGACAUUUCUGUUGGAGUGGCUCUAGGGAUCGAAUAUCUACAUCGAGGUUGUGACAUGCAAAUACUACAUUUCGACAUCAAACCUCACAAUAUUCUUCUUUAUGACUGGCGGACUCAGGAAUUUUUUAGAAGAGGGGCAACAUUUAAAAGGCAAAAAGUAUGUGAGGGAAAUCCAAGUGCAAGGAGUCCAUGAACCCAUCUACAAUAAUCAACAGGGAAGAGAGAAACUUUGAAUAAAUAAACAUGAAAUUUGCAUAAAAUAAAAUAAAAUUAUAAGUUGAGAAACUAAGAAAGAACAUAUGCCAAAUAAGGGGGAUUAAAGCUCAUAGAUAUUUAUGAAGUAGAGAUACAUCAUUAAGGGAAUUUUGGGAGAUAACAAGUUUAUGUGAAACAAAAAUCAAAUUGAAUAUUACAAAAUCUCUUUUAGACAUAUACUCGAACACAUGGUGGGCACCAGCAGAGGGGCAAAUUCCAACCACCCCAAAGGAUUUUCCGACGAAGGGAGGUGCUGCUCCCUCAUGUGUAGGUCUGCCUUUUCAUCUGAAAGAUUUCUGACUUUGGGCUUGCAAAAUUAUACCCAGUAGGUAAUACCAUCAUUUCUUUGAUGGCAGCAAGGGGGACAAUGGGAUAAAUGGCACCUGAGUUAUUCUUAAAAAUAUUGGAGCUGUCUCACACAAAACCGAUGUCUAUAGUUUUGGAAUGUUAUUUAUGGAAAUUGUGAGUAGAAUGAAGAAUUUGAAUGCAUCAAUAGAGCAUUCAAGCCAAAUUUUUUUUCCUCUUUGGGUCUCAGUCUGCAUGGGCAAAGAGUUUGAGAUGAAUGAUGCUACAGAAGAGGAAAAACGAAGAAUAAAGAAGAUGAUUAUAGCUGCUUUAUGGUGUAUACAAUUGAAGCCAAGCGAUCAUCCUUCAAUGAACAAAGUUACAGAGAUGCUUGAGGGAGAGGUUGAAUGCCUCCAAGCCCCUCCCAAGCUAUUUUUAUGUCCAUAAGAAAUGCCAGAGACAAUCUUCCUUGUAAUUCAAAUCAAACGUGUUCGAACAGAGAGCUAACAUUCACAACAUAACCAGCCCUUUUCAACUAGCCAAAGAUCCAAAUCAAAGCAACUGCAUGAACAAGGAUUACUACCUUUGGGAUUACGACGUCUUUUAUCACAACAACCUCAUAGUAUUGGAAGUACAUUCAGGAAACUACUGUUUGUGCAAAUAAUCUCGCGGGAGAAUAUUUUCUUUGUGAUUCUUCAACCUUCGUUCUUCCUUCUCUCUCUUCCUCAAUUCUCGUAGAAAAGACCAGAGUAAAUAGACCAUACCUGGGGGUGUUGGCCAAAGGCCUUCCGAUGCCUAUGUUAGUUCGAGUGUUUGUAGGAAAACAAUAGCUAACAAAAGUGUACGGAGAUGUAUGUAUGGUGUGAACUGGGUGGCAAGCGCCGUGUGAAGAAAAUAUGGAGAGUGGAGAGUAGAGAGGUUGACUGCAAGGGUAUUGCCGUUGGCUAGAGAGAGAGAGAGAGAGGGAGAAAGCUCCAAGUAUUUUUCUAGGGUUUGAGUAGGUUUAGGUGUACCUUGAAUGAUGAAUGAAGCCAUCUAUUUAUAGGAGCCUCGAUUUUGUAGAGAAUAAAACUCUGAUUAGGAAGGAGUUUAUUCUUCACCCAAGUUCGUAGAGAUUGAGUCCAUUAGGGAUUUGAUUGGAAUCCAAAUCUCUUAAUUUGAUGAUGAUUAUAUCUCAUUAUUAGGAUAAUAUCUGAAUUAAUGAUAUUAUCUUAUUAAAUACAAAUAAUAUCCUGUAAUUCAGAUAUUAUCCUUAUUAAAUAAUUUGCGAAAUAAAUUCGUUCAAUUAAUUAAUUUAAGGGAUAUUCUUCUUUUCCACGUGGCGUGCUAUGAUUGGAGACGAAAAUAUUUGCUCUCACAAAUGCCCCCCAGCUAUCACGUGGCGCUUGUGUGGCAUGUAGGAGAUGAACUUAUUUUUCGGGCUCUUCAACUGCGUCCGGGCUUUGUUCUGUGAGUUGGACUCUUUUUGCAGAUUGGAUUCCCAAUUGGAGUGGGCUUCUAACUGUUCUUGGAGUUGGGUUCCCAGUAGGAAUGGGCUUGUGAUUUCUUCAUGACCUUGGACCCCUAACCUGUAUAAAUGCAAGGCCUUUCUUCACUCUUCUUCACAUCACAAACUUAACUUCUCUACUUUCUAGCUUGAGAGAGAUCUUGGAGAAUUUGUACUGCUUGUCGAAGAGAGGAGUUGUCGUGCAUCCCAAGGUAUGUCGAGCAGGUUAAUAUUGUUUAUUCUUCGUCUUUUCUUCUUCGCGGAGAGGACCAGUUGGAUUGGACCAGGCAGGUUGUCAUUCUAACUAGUAGCCAAAGACAAUUGGAGCCACGGUGGCCACUAGUGGCUGCUAAGUGAGUGCCAGGAGGAAGUUGGUGGUCUGCCCCCUGUCCAGGAUGUUGAGAGAUGGAAGCAGAAUGGUCUAAACUAUGAUGAUCUAACUAUUAGAUAGGAGGAGUGCUCUGACGGAUCCCCCUAAAAAAGGAAGUCAAAUGUCACGUCUUCAAGAAAUGAAGUUGCAACUUCGCCGAUGAAGGAUGUGUCUCCGUUGAGGAAAAAGCCAAGGAUCCCUUCUGUUGAGAAAAUCAAGUAGGAGUUGUUCCCCCAUCAUCAGCUAAGGUUAAACAUUUUGUUGGUGCAGAUAACAAGAAGAUUAACGGUAUGCCCAAUAUUAGGGAUGUUCCGCUCAAGCCUCUUACUGACAAGUUUGGAGACCGUGAUCUGCUCCGUGAAGUGGUCCGCUCGAGAACUAUUUUACUUGCUAAGAGGCAAGGAGAUGCAGAUAUUCCUCUCUGAGGUUCGAGUCGUUUGUACCAGUAAAAGGAUGGAGAUUGAACUAGAAGGUCUGCUCAUCCGCCCAACCAUCACGAUCCAGCUGUUGAGUCACAAGCAUUAAAGUAAGGAGUUGAUUCAGCGUCGUUGAUUCCUUUAGAGGUGAGGAUGGCGGUGGCUAGGGGUUCUUCUGCAACGUCAGCGGCUAAUCCCAAGGUGAACAAAUCCAGGCAUGCAGGGGAUGCAGGCGUGUCUGAUCUGCUGAAGACGAACUUCCUGUUAAGCCCGUCUGCUUUCUUUAGGAUGGUUAAUCAUAUCUAUGAGGCUGGCGAUCUUAGUACCUUCUCAAGUCUUUCCUUGGAAAAACAAAGGGAAGCAACAUUUCAUCUGCUUCAAAAAUAAGUAGUUUUUGCUGCUGAAACUAUUCGAAACUCGUCUGCUGUUGCCCCUUCUUUUGCUGCUGAAUUGGUUAGUCGAAAAGAUGCUUACUUCCAUCUUAAGCGCAACAAUGCAGACAUCUUUCUUAGCUAUGACAAGCUCCUGCCUAGAUUUCACGCCUACCACAAGUCAGCUGAAAAAUUCAAGUUCGAAGCUACCAUGGAUGCAUACAAGCUGAGCUACUUGGAUUGCACAAAUGGAAAUGAUCCCUUCUAUGCCAUUGGAGAUGGAGACAUCAAGAUGCUCUAUCCUGACUUGCUCCCUGUGCAAAGUGAGCAGGUUAAUGCUGUGAAUAUGGAAAGAGAUGAAAAGCAGGAGGCCAAAGAGACGAUAGCUGAAGAGGAUGCAGCUGAUGAGGUGGUGGCAGAUGUCACAGAUCAGGCAGUUGGAGCUACUGAGAGCGUGGCUAAUCAGGCUGAUGCCAAAGAGGUUGUAGAUCAGGAAUCUCUUAUCAACGCCUCAGAGUAGACGAAUGCUUCUUUAUUUCUUUUCAUCUUUUAUAAUCUGCUUUUUGUUUGUUUAGAAUAAUUGGUCUUGGUUGGUCACUUUGCUAUGGAAAUUUCAAUUUUUUUUUUUCAACUUCAAUUUGUGUAUUGUCUUGUGAACUGCUUGAGUAACCGACUAGUGUCUUAGUUGUGCAUUUCCCAUAGGAUAUUACAAAAGCCAGAGUCCCAUUUGAGGGACUCCAAGCGUCUUCUAUAUCUCCUGAAGGACGCUUUUGGUCGUCGCCCUACGUCUCCUAAGGGACGUUGCUUAUGGGCAACUGUAUGACUAUCUUGCCCGCAUUAAGAAAAGGAUAGGAACCUAGAUACCUCCUUAAGAAAUUUCUUGCGUGCCCUGCGUCUCUCGAAAGACGUUCCUUGUGGGCUGCGGGCCCCGAAGGAUGCUGUGUGACCAUCUGCCUCCCUUAGAAAAUGAAUAGGAACCUGGAUACCUCCAUUAGGAUGCAAGGAGACCUCUCUUAGGAAAUUCCUUGCACACUAUGCGUCUCCUUGAGGAAGAUUCUUUGCAGGCUGCGUCUCCUGUAGGACGCUUUUAGUUGUCGCCCAACGUCUCCUGAAGAACGUUGUUUAUGGGCAACUGUAUGACUAUCAUGCUCCCUUUAGAAAAUGGAUAGGAACCUGGAUACCUAGCUUAGGACAUUUCUAGCGCACCAUGCGUCUCCUGAAGGACGCUCCUUGUAGGCUAUGCGCCUCAAAGGACGUUGUGUGACUAUCACGCUUUUCUUAAGAAUACCUCUCUUUAAGAAGCAUGGAGACCUCCCUUAGGAAAUUCCUGGCGCUCUAGUAGGACACUUUUGGUCGUCACUCAGCAUCUCCCGAAGGACUCUACUUAUGGCCAACCACUUUUUUUUUCUUUUCUUCUUGUACAUUUUGGAAUGAAAAACUUAACUUUUAUUGAUGUUCAUGAGAUUACAUCGCUUUAUUCGAAAUGGAAAUAACUGAAGAAAAAACCCGGAGCUAAGCAUGUGCAGUGCUUACAUCGCUUGGAGCUGAGCAGGUAGAAGGAAGCGUCAUGGAUAAUAACUUUGACAGUGCCAGACAUUCCAUUGUCGCGGAAUUUCCUAUCCAUCCUUGGUGUCAAUCGUAUAGUUCCUUCUGCCCCCAGGCUAGCUGAUCACGUAAGGGCCUUCCCAAUUGGGUUUCAUCUUUUUGGCUAUCUGAUCUUGGCUGUUUUGUCGUAGUAAGACUUGAACUACUGUUAAUAGGAGGCGACUCGGACAAUGACCUUCUCACCCUCACCUUCAAGUAAGUCAAGGUUGAGCCUCAUCUGCUCGGAGUUCUGCUCAAUAUUGCUUACUUCAAUGCCAAUGGAGGGGACAAUGAUGUAAGGAGAAAUGAUUGCUUCAGUUCCAUAGGUGAGAGAAAACGGGGUUUCGCCAGUUGAUCUUCGCUUGGUGGUGAGAUAAGCCUAUAAUACUCCAGGGAGUUCAUCUACCCAUUUCCCUUCGGCGCCUUCAAAUUUUUUCUUUAGACAAUCUAGUAUUAUUUUGUUGGAUGCCUCAGCCUGGCCGUUGCCCUGAGGAUAUCUCGGGGUUGACAGAUGCUGCUUGAUGCCAUAUUUUUUGAAGAAUGUGGUGAUCUACUUGCCGAUGAUGGGGUUUUGCCAGCUGGGGUCUUCAUCGAUCUGCAUUGAGUCGAUUGGCUCUCUUUCUUCGAUACUUGGCUAGUCAAGGUGUUCGAUCGGGAUGGAGUGUUUGAACUGGGUGUCCAACGCAGAUCCUAAGCUUGCCAAAGCAUCUGCAUGAGUGUUCUCUGCCCGUGGAACUUGUUGGAUGGUGAAAGUAGGGAAUUCUUUCAAAAGUCCUUGGAUUUUGUCGAGGUACUAGACCAUAUACUAGCCUGAGGCUUGAUUCGUAAUCAGCUGGGAUUCUGAGUAGAUGGUCAAUCUUUUGAUCGACAGUUCUUUUACUAAGCACAGUCCGGCGAAUAAUGCCUCAUAGUCUGCCUCGUUGUUUGAAGCAGGGAAGCCUAGUGUGAUGACUUGUUCCAACAAAGUUCUAUUUGGAGCGAUUAUGACAAUGCAUGCCCCCGCUCCCUUGUGAUUUGAUGCUCCAUCUACAUGCAACUGCGCAUGUCGUUAGGCAUGUUUGAAUCGGUGAGGGAGGUAUCGUAUGCUUUUCCCUUCCUUUUUGUGACCAGCUUCUCUACUUUGGCUGUCGAAGUAAACUCUAUAACAAAAUUUGCUAAAGUCUGAGCUUUUAUAACAAUUUUCAGUCGGUAAAGGUGAUCGUAUUGACUGAGUUCGAUAGCCCAUGUAUGUAUGGUGUGAACUGGGCCGCCAGAGCCGUGUGGAAAAAAUAUGGAGAGUGGAGAGUGGAGAGGUUGGCGGCAAGGGUAGUGCUGUUGGCUAGAGAGAGAGAGAGAGAGAGAGAGAGAGAGAGAGAGAGUGGGAGAGAGAGCUUCAGGUAUUUUUCUCAGGUUUUAGGAGUAGGUUUUAGGUGUACCUUGAAUGAUGAAUGAAGCCAUCUAUUUCUAGGAGCCUCAGAGGCUAGGGUUUUGUAAAGAAUAAAACUCUUGUUAGGAAGGAGUUUAUUUUUUACCCAAGUACGUAGAGAUUGAGUCCAUUAGGGAUUUGAUUGGGAUCCAAAUCUACUAAUUUGAUGAUGAUUAUAUCUCCUUAUUAGGAUAAUAUAUGAAUUAAUGAUAUUAUCUUAUUAAAUAUAGAUAAUAUCAUAUAAUUAAGUUAUUAUCCCUAUUAAUUAAUUGGCCAAAUAAAUUGGUUCAGUUUUCCACGUGGUGUGCUAUGAUUGGAGACGAAAAUAUUUGCUCUCACAACUAUUUUGUGCAGGCAAUCAACUACGACAACUUCACAAUCCGAGUUGUAGAUCCUAGCAUUCGCCGUACAACACCUCUGAUUUCUCCUCCAUCCCCCGUUAUUCGCUUUCCAUUUACAACGUCACUCAUUACAAAGAUUUUGAAUUAGCAUCAAGUACAACACCUUUCUUGAAGUGUGCAAAAGCAGUGAACUCGUAUGCGAUGAGUACGUAUAAUUAUGUCAAGCAAGGGAAUAUGGAGGACGUGUGCAGAAUAGAGUGGACAACUUUGAUCAGUAAGUCUUUCUUAUACGGAAAGGACAGAAACGUUUUUUUAUCAUGACAUACAUAGCGCACUGUGCUAUGGCUUUGAGCGUCAAUUCCGCUUUCGCAGGACCAGUUACAAAUUAGGUUCGUAAAUUACUUGCUAUAUUCCAAGUCUACAAUUUCUUACUCAAAAUUUCUCAAUUUCUCCAAAUGUCACUUGUUUAAGUCUAUCAUCUAACUUUUUGUUACGCUUUAUUUCUCAUUUUCAAUAAUUUGUUUUGUUAUGUUUUACUUGAAAUGAGAAAGACAUAUAGAGAAAAUACGUCAAAUAUUAUUUGAAAAUAAAAUUUCUAACAAUUUUAAACAGUUUUAUUACUUGUAUUUUGUUUGGUUAAUUUAAAUUCCCUUCUCUCUUCUUCACCUUCCUCAUAUGAUGUAGUCUUCUAAUUAGUCUUAGUCUACCAUUAAGCAGGGCAGAGUAUAUAUAUCUGUGAUUCGAAAUUUCAAACUUAUGUCAAGCCUUUGAUUUUGGUCACUUUUUCUUUUAUCUCUUGCAGGUAUUUACGAUUGGCUGACAUUCGGUAAGAGUUUGCACAUUAGUGCAGAAUUGUAUUUCCUAUCAGUCAGUAGAAAAAACAAAUGGAAGCAAAGAGGAAGGUUAUGACGCACAUAUAUUAUAUCCAAUAAAGCAUGUCAUUUGUGAUUCUUUUUGUGAUGUUGCUUUGCAGGAGCAUAUUUCCCAAUAAGAUCUAUAUUUGGGGUUCCAUUUCUGGCUGCUCUUCUAAUCUUCAAACGGCGAAGAAUGCAAUGUAUAGCAACAUAGAAGAUUUCCUGCAAAGUGAUAACAACCUCAUUCCAAUAAGGUACUCUUACUCUGAUACUAAAAAGAUGAUCAGUAGAUUCAAUGAGAAGUUGGGUGAAGGAGGUUAUGGCUCUGUAUUUAAAGGAAAUUUACGCAGUGGUCGAUUUGUAGCAGUUAAAAUGUUGGAGAAGCCUAAAGCUAAUGGACAAGAUUUCAUAAGUGAGGUAGCUACUAUUGGGAGGAUUUACGAUUUUAAUAUGGUUCAACUUGUUGGUUAUUGUGUUGAGGGAUCAAAGCGUGCCCUAAUUUAUAACUUCAUGUCUAAUGGGUCUCUUGAUAAAUACAUUUAUUGCAAAGAAGGAAGCAACUCCUUAAGUUGCAGGAAAAUGUAUGAGAUUUCUCUUGGAGUGGCUCAAGGGAUCGAAUAUCUACAUCGAGGUUUAAGGGAUCGAAUAUCUACAUUGAGAUUUCUCUUGGAGUGGCUCUUAGAUUCUAACUUUUUAUUUCCUAAACUUUAGGGUAGUCAUAUGAAAGAAUUUCGUAUUCCUUUCACUAUUUGUUGGCAUGUAGCAUGAAGCAUUGGUUGUGGUUUUAUUUUUAAAUUAUGUUGGCAUGAUGAAAAUGUUUUUUGGUUGUUAUUAAAAAAUUUUGUCGUGGGUUUGAGAUGUGUACAAAAAAAAAAAGUUUUUUUUUUUUUUUUUUUUUUUUUUGUAUGUUAGCUGUAAGUGAGAGGCAUAUUGAUGCCAAUAAAAAAAAAGGCACAUGGAUGCCAAAUGAAGAGAGAAAGGCACAUGGAUGCCGAAGGAAGAGGGAAGGGCACAAGGAUGUCGAAGGAAAAAAAGGAACAAUGGUUCCUGUGAAGAUUAGGGCAAAUGUGCACCCAGAAGAAAAAAGGAAAGAAAAUGGAGUGUUUUUUGAUUCAUGAAGGAAAGUGUUUGGUUAUUAAUUGCGUUCUUUCUUGCAGCCAGAAAAGAAAAAAGAUGAGUAUAUCAGUUGUUGUGCCAUUCAAACCCAUCUUAAUUAAAGUUGCACGCAACCUUAAUGUUGAACCACAUUUUAAUUUUGUAACCAAGGGACCAGCUCAUGCAAUGCAAUUAUGUGUCACAUUAGUUUGGAUGGAGGCGCACAUCCGAAUUUUUCAAUCAGAUGGAAAAACACAAAGAAGGAGGCAGAACACUUGGCGGCAGAUUUUUGUGUGAAUUAUUGGAUUGAACAUAACAUCAUUAAAGUGCUCGAUGUGAACUUUAAUGCGUUGAUGAAUUUUAAGAUCAAAUGUGGAAAGUUGUAGGAAGAUAUUGAGACGCUAUAAGAUCAAGUGAUGGAUCUAGAGCUAGAAAUUGGAAUGCUAACACAAGAUGAAAAUCUAGAAGAAAAUGGUACUGGCCAGCCUCAAAGUAUCGUGAACAUAAGCGACAUGGAAGACGAGUAAAGGAGAAAGCAUCUAUGUUAAUAAGCUUUAAAAUUAAGGGAGAGAUUGUUGGGGUAAUUUCGAAGGUCAAAAGUUUAGAAAAUAAAAAGUUAGAAUCUAAAGGGUUUAGCUAUUAUGUCUAGUUUAUGAGUUGAAGUUAAUGUGAGGUUUAGUGGGUAUAAUGGUUAUGAUUAUGCUUAAUGUUGAGUUAAUAUUAUGGCCUAUAAAUAGGCGUUGUAUCCACUCUAUGUUAGUGUGUAUCAAGAAUAUCAAGAAUAUCAAAUGUAUGUUGUAGUAGAGUAUUUGAAGUAUCAAUCUUAUUGAAGUUUGUCUCAAGUAAGUUUGUGUAGGAGCUCUGUGUAGCCUUCGGACUUCACAUCUCCAAAAAUAUGUUAUUUAUUUAGUCCGUUAUAUUGUAUUUCCCCCUUCACAUUUAGAGUGUAUCAGCAUAAAGCUAAAUCCACCAAUACCAUUUUGUAGCCAUAGCACUCUAGAUUUCUGGCGCCAAAACAACGCUUCCUGCUCCAAGACAGAGUUAUAAUCAUUAGAUAAAGUAGCCUCCAGCUGAAGCAGAUAAUUAUUAGGCCCAAAGCCGAGAGCCUUCAGAAUGCCAGCUAGUCUACGUAAGAGCUUAGCCUUCUUUUGCCUUAAAGGACCAAACACAUUCAGAUUCCAAUGCUUGAGUGGUUCAACCAAAGCACAAGAUUUUUCCAAUGCAAACCCAGAACCAAGAUACCACUGUAAUAUAAUGAAAUAGAAGGGACUAAUUUGACUAAUUUGCAUUUGAAAUAGAAGGGAAGCUAUCCAAUGGGGAUGGUAUUGGAGUGGAAGAGCCUCUAAAGUUUCUAUUCAGAAGACUAGCUAGAGGUUUGAUUUACUUUCUUCCUAAUACAGAAUAAGUUAUAACCAUCUAUUACAAAAAGGGAUUGACAGAUUGACAGACCCAUUACAAGAUUUAUGUUAAUUAUUCAUGUGAGAUUAUAUACUUGUUUUUAAGAUUGUUCAGAACUCUUUUGGGGCAGAAGUUGUUAAGUUUCAGUUACCCAUGUUGACUGUUAAUUUUGCACAGCUUGUGGGUUAGUUUUGACGUAUAAGUACUUGGUUUUAAACUAUACAUAUCCAGGAUUGUAAUUUGGUUGAAGUUUGAUACCUGAGUUUGGUAAGCAUGACUACAAAAUCUGUCAAAAACAGGGGCUGCAGUUUCAGUUUUGAAACACUUUUGGACUGCCUUAUCUUAUAAAUUAGAGCAUCGUUUCUGUCAAAUUUUAUAUGGUUUCAAAGUUUAUUUAAUCAGCUUCAGGAUGCAUGUAAUUUGGUAGAUUGUUAUUGAGUUUAGGCUGUUUAAUUCUGAGUUUAAAGUUCAAUACACAGUAGCUGAAAUUGCAUUAGUUUCUAUGGUGGUGCAGGAGCAACAACAGUUUUCUAAAAGCUCAUGUCAAGACAUAAGUUGGUGGUUCAAUUGAUGAAUGUCAAGGUAAACUUAAUUUACACACACAACUACCUACAUGAUCAUAAUACCAGAAACAUUGGAGUUUAUGGUUCUGUUGCUGACAGGACAUUUGGAAGCAACAACAAAAACAUGACCGGAUAAUUGGACAACCAGCUGAUGAUAGCCCUGCUGAACAGUUUGAGCAUAGGUUAGAUGUGGUCUGAUAUGUUAGAGAUUGAUUUUAUCAUUAUAUUCAUGAGUGAAUGGGUUGGAGAGAUUGUGAACAAGUUAAUUGUAGGUUUGACAACACUUUUAUGUGUUUCUUUUAUACUCUAAAGAGUUUGUAUUUGGAAUUGAUUAUGAUUGGUAUAAGUUUUCUUUUUAAGUUUGGUUGCAAUACUAUUGUUUUUUUUUUCUUCAGGGUAAUAAAAGAUAUAAGUAUUUUGUUACUAUGAAACAAGAGUAGGGAGGAAAUUAAUUAAAUUUAUAUAUAUAAAAAAAAAAAGAGUUAAACACGGCGUGCAAAACACCCCUUAAAUGGGAAUAAAAAUCCUCUUUUAUAGCGUGCAUUGAAUGCCUUAAUAACUCUUUUAUGGCGUGCAAGGCACGCCAUAAAUGGUUGUCCAAACUUUUACAAAAGCUCAAUCAUGGCGUGCAUUAUUAACAGUUGCAGCAAAUGAAUGCAUGCCAUAAAAGAAAAAUACUUUUUAUGGCACGACCUUUUAUGGCAUGCAGCAGCACGCUGUGAAUGGUCGGCGCACAUCACACGCUGUAAAUACCCAGUUUUCUUGUAGUGAAGAAAGGAGUUCGAAGGGUGAAGAAGAAAGGAGUUCGAAGGUUGAAGAAGAAAGGAGUUCGGAAGGUGAAGAAUCAAUCCGGAAUAUUCCCCCGUGUGGAUAUUUGCACAAAUAUUUUGGUGCUUUCAUUGAGAGCAUCGAGUUAUACUCAACACGUUGCUCUCGAAUCAGACAUCUGUUACACUCAAUCAAAGCCUUCCAAACAACCAUAGUUAGAAGCAAGCGCAUGAGAAGCAAGGCCGUCGCGACAACACAAUCCGUGACAGACCCUAGCCAUCGCGAUGAUGAGGUGUUCAUCCAACCAAAAAGCUCCGCCGCCAAAACCACGACUUUUCCUCCCGACCCCAUGGCCAUGGGUACGACUCUACACGCUUGGCUUUUGAGCUUUUGAGCUCUAUAUAUUAAAAAAUUAGCUUAUCUUGUGACAUGUAUUAUCAAUCUAACUGCUAUAUAUAUUUACUUAUUUAUUUCUCUUAUCCGGAUGUCCGCAUGUUAUUAUCGUGCGGAUGCCAUUGUAAACAAGAAAAAAAAUCAUAGAAUGGCAAUAGAACAUAUAUGGUAUCCGCACAAUAAUAACAUCUGGACGUCCACAUAAGAGAAUAUAUAUUGAGGGAUCCUAUUAUUCAACAGAAAAAUACAAUUUCAAGUCCGAAGAUGAAACUGCACAAUACAAUGAAGAUUGUGCCACAAAAUCACGUAAGAACGAACAAAACUGAGCUCGAAAUAAGAGAAAUAAGAUCGAACCGAAGCACAAAAAUCGCACGCCAAAACUGACCUUGAUUCUGCAUGCAAAAGCAAAAUUACGAAGAAAAUAUAAAAAUCAAUGUAAAAACACAAAACUUAAUCAUAAUAAAAUAGAAAAACGAAGAAAAUUGUUGAUGCUCAAAAUGGCCCAGCCAAUAUUGAGUCCAACUUGGUGAUGAGAUGUGUGGGGUCUUCGGCAGUUUAGAAGGCUAAGGUCUUCGGAAAGGGGAGAACCUGCAGAAGACAAAAUAGGAGAAGCGAUCGUCAAGCUUUGGACACCGGUGUGAUGCCGGCCGAAAGCUCUCCGAUGCUUAAGUUAGCUACAAGUGGUAACUUUGGCAGAGUAACAGUAAAGGUGAGAAAGUGGUUACCCUUUUUACUUGGGUACUGUUCCCUAUUUAUAGGGAGGUGAAAGUAGGAGGUUUGCACAAAGUUUCAAUGUGGGACUUUGUGCAAGUCGUCGUGGUGGCGACACGUGUUCUGGAGAUUAGGUUUGGUAAUUGGAAGCUUCGGCAGGUGUCUGGCACCUCGGAAGUGUGUCUUCCUUCGGCAAGGAGAAGGCGUGGCUGCCUUGGUGCUAGUCGCUUUGAUGCUGGGUCUGCUCGGUUCAUUAUGGUGUAAACAGUAGUCCCCCAAAUUCGCGGUCGAGAAGUAACUUUUGGGUUGGGAACUUGUGAGUUUUUGUGUAAUCGUGACCGAGCAUUCCAACUUCAUUGGGAGCUGUAGGGCACUCCCUAGUCCCCCAAGUUGGCAAGCUAGGAGUUGCGUCAACACAUGGAAUGUAUGAUACAAGUGGUGUGAUCCUCUAGAACUAUUGGUAGCUGGGUACCUGGGCAUUCUGCAGGUAGGCUGGGAGCUGGGUCCGUAGGGUUUUUUUGUUUUUUGUUUUUUUGAAAAGCUGGGAAGCUAGACCUUCGGCAGGCUGAGGCUUCUGAAAAAUUUGAGGUCUCUUUGCACCUUCCAUGGCCCUUGCCGUUCGGCAAGGUCCUAGCCUUUUUUUUUUUUUGGACGCUGGGAAGCUAGACCUUCGGCAGGCUGAGGCAAGGAACCAAGAUGGACUUGGGCUACGGAUUGAGCUUCGGCAAGGCGAAAGGACUGACCCUUUUCUGCUGGGCCUUCAAGGCUUCAGCAAGGGCUUAUCCUUGGAGCUAGGCUUUCAAGGCUCCGGCAAAGGCUUGUCCUUUGGUAGGAAGAAUAAAGGGCUUAAUCCCGUGAGUUUCCAAGCUCUUGGUAGGUGGGCCUCGUGAGCUAGGCUUUGGCAAAGGCCUGGGGUUUGUGCUUUGUGGAGCUGGGCUAGGCAAGAGAAAGAUGUCGUGAUGUAAGCCAUNNNNNNNNNNNNNNNNNNNNNNNNNNNNNNNNNNNNNNNNNNNNNNNNNNNNNNNNNNNNNNNNNNNNNNNNNNNNNNNNNNNNNNNNNNNNNNNNNNNNUUUUUGGUUGGGUGUUGUGUUCAGCAAGAUCUUUUGUCUUUCGGGUCUUCUUGAUAAUUUUGUUCACGGCUUCGACCUGGCCAUUGGACUGAGGAUGGGCUGGGGAGGCGAAGCAAAGACGGAUCUUGAGGUUAGAACAAAAUUGUUUGAAUUUUGCAUUGUCAAAUUGCUGGCCAUUGUCUGUGACGAUGGAGUUGGGGAUGCCGAAGCGACAUACGAUAUUUUGCCACACAAAGGUUUCGAUGCGGGCCGCAGUAAUGGUGGCUAAGGCUUCGGCUUCAGCCCAUUUGGUGAAGUAGUCUACGACUACAACUGCAUAUUUGACUUGGCCCUUGCCCUUAGGCAUUGGUCCAAUGAGGUCCAGUCCCCAUUGGGCAAAUGGCCAAGGACUGACCAUGGCUGUCAAUGGUUCAGCUGGGAGUUGUGGAAUGUUGGCAAAUCUCUGACACUUGUCGCAUUUCUGGGUGAAGGCCUGGGCAUCAGUGUGGAGUGAAGGCCAGAAGUAUCCUUGGCGAAUUGCCUUAUGAGCCAGUGAGCGUGCGCCCGAGUAGUUGCCGCAGAUGCCUUCAUGGAUUUCCCGAAGGACAUAAUGACCCUCCGCUGGAGUCAGACAUCGGAGGUAAGGAAGGCUAAAACCCCGCUUGUAUAGGGAGUCGUUAAUUAUCAGGUAUCGGGCAGAACGAUAGCCAACGCAUCGUGCCUCAGCAGAAUUAGCCGGUAGUGUUUGGUUCUGCAAAAACUGAAGGAUGGGGUCUAUCCAUGUAGGGCUGUGAUCAAUGGUACAGAUGAGUGGGGCUUGUGUGCUGGGCUGGUCCAAGAAUUCAAUGCGGAUGUGGCGACCUAUGUCCUGCUCGAAGGCUGAUGCUAACCUGGCCAACGCAUCAUCAUGGCUAUUCUCAAAGCGUGGCACUUGGUUUAUAGAAUGAGCGUGGAAGGUUGCAAGCAAGUGCCGGGUGUGCUGGAGGUAAGCUGUCAUGGAGGCAUCCUUGGCCGUGAAGUCCUGGUUGACUUGAUGAACGACGAGCUGUGAGUCACUGAAUAUCUGAAUUUGUUUGGCAUCCAUCUCCUUGACUAGUCGAAGGCCAGCUAAAAGUGCUUCAUAUUCGGCCUCAUUGUUGGAGGCUUGGAAUUUGAAGCUGAGGGCGUACUCAAGGGCGACCUUGUCUGGGGAGAUGAGAACGAGGCCGGCCCCACACCCUUGGGCAUUAGAAGAGCCAUCCACAAAUAAAGUCCAUAGGGGUUGGGUCAGGUCGAAAGUGCCUUUGCUGGCGGUGUGGUCUUGGCUCGGAGGGAGAUUAGGUUCGGUUAUGAGCUGGGUAGCUGCUGAGGCUUGGGGUUCCGUGAAUUCGGAUAAGAAGUCAGCGACGGCCUGGCCCUUUGUAGUUGGGUAGGGUUUGUAGUGAAUAUCAAACUCACCAAUGGCCCACUUAACCAGCCUCCCAGAAGUUUCUGGUUUCUACAACACUUGUCGGAGCAGUUGGUUGGUUAAGACAUGGAUGGUGUGAGCUUGGAAAUAUGGUCGGAGGCGUCUAGCCGAGACGACCAGGGCGAACGCCAGUUUUUCAAUGUCUGGGUACCGGACCUCGGCAUCCUGCAAUGUUUUACUAACAUAAUGCACUAGGUGCUCCACGUUAUCCCUUGGUCGUAUGAGCACAGAGCUAACUGCCGAAACUGAGACGGAAAGAUAAAUUACGAGGAUGUCUCCGUGCUCAGGGGUUGACAAUAAAGGGGCCUGACCCAUAUACUCCUUGAGCUCGCUGAAAGCCGUGUCACAUUCAGCAGUCUAGGUGAUGCUUCGCUUGCUGCCCUUAAGUGCCUUGAAGAAUGGGGCACAGCGGUCAGUGGCCUUGGAGAUAAAUCUGGUCAGGGCUGCGACACGCCCUGUAAGGCUUUGGAUAUCCUUGACCGUCUUAGGUAUUUUCAUGUCUAAGAUGGCCUGGAUCUUUUCUGGAUUGACCUCAAUACCCCUCUGGCUGAUCAUGAAGCCAAGGAAUUUGCCGGAAGCCACCCCGAAUGCACAUUUGGUGGGGUUGAGCCUCAUUUUGUACUGCUUCAAGAUGGUGAAGAUGGCAGAGAGGUUAGGGAUGUGUUUGUGAGUUGUGCGACUCUUGACCAGCAUGUCAUCAACGUAUACUUCCAUGGUGUUGCCAAUCAGUGGGGCGAAGAGGCUGUUCACCAGACACUGAUAAGUAGCCCCGGCGUUCUUGAGGCCGAAGGGCAUCACCUUAUAGCAUAGAGGCCACGAUCCGUAAUGAAGAAGGUGUGGGCUUGAUCUUCGGGGUGCAUGAAGAUCUGGUUGUUACCUGAGUAAGCAUCCAUGAAGCUAAGGAGGGCGUGGCCAGCUGUGGCGUCUACCAGCUGGUCAAUGCGGGGUAGAAGGAAGCUAUCCUUUGGGCAGGCCCGAUUAAGGUUGGUGUAAUCUACACACAUGCGCCAGCCUUUUUGUGGUUUACGGACCAUCACCACAUUAGCCAGCCAUGUAAGAUAGUCAACCUCCCUGAUGAAUACUAUACUACUCAAUGGAUCCACCUCCGCCCUCAUGGCCUCAUAGCGCUCUGGGUCGUAAGCGCGACGCUUCUGUCGGACGGGUCGGACGGCAAGAUUAACGCUGAGCCUAUGGGAUAUGAUGUCUGGUGAUAUGCCAAGCAUGUCAUUGUAGGACCAUGCGAAGACUUCAAAGUUGAGGCGAAGGAAGGCUACGAGGUCAGAGCGAAGCUCUUGCGAGAUGGAGGUGCCGAUCCAGACUUGCCGAUCCGGGAUGUCGUCAUGAAAAGUAACCAGCUCUAGGUCUUCCACAGGUUCGGCUUGCUGAGUGACAGACUCCUCCCUUGGGUCCUCAAGUCAUUCUGUGCCAGCUUGAGGAGGGGCGGGAGCUUUGGUUAUUGCAAGGGCCUCACUCCUAUGUUGGCGAUUAGUGGAUUUAACUGCGUAAGCAUAGCAGCUUCGGGCGCUGAGUUGGUCGCCGAGCACCGUGCCUGUGCCAUUAGGCGUAGGGAACUUCAGCAGCAGCAUAUGUGUGGAAAUAAAGGCCCUCAUUUGGAGCCAAGGUUAGGCGUCCAAGGAUGACGUUGUAAGCUGUGGGGCAGUCAAUGAUAAGGAAGAGGGUAGUGAUUGUCACCCACUGGAGUGCGGCCCCAAUAGAUAUAAGAAGAUGAAUGCUGCCAAUGGGCUAGACCACAUCACCUGAGAAGCUCACAAAGGGUGUGAUGCUUCAGUCGAGUAAGUGAGACAGGACCUGGAGCUCAUUGAAAGCGUCAGCAAACAUCACAUUGACCGAGCUGCCGGUGUCCACCAAGAUACGCCAAACGUCCAAAUUAGAAAUGUCCGCAUGGAUAAUGAGUGGUUCAUCAUGGGGGAGGAUAACACCACGCUCCUCCUCCUCGCAGAAGGUAAUGGGGGCCCAGCCCGACUUUUGGGUCUUCGGCAAGCGUCCCUGCUCGGUGCUGAAGACCUAGUACGCAUAGGUGGAGCGGACAUAAUGUUUGAUGGAGUUGUUGGAGGUGCCAACCAGGGUAGAACCACCACUGAUGGUGGAGAUCAUGUUGAUCUGUCGUUGGUGAGGGUUAGGCGGGGGUGGUAGGUUGUGCACAUAGUUGUCCAGCUUUCCCUCACGGAUGAGCCCUUCAAUUAUGUUGCGCAACGCAACACAAGAUUCGGUGUCAUGGCCGCUGAAUUGAUGAAAGCGGCAGAAGACACCCGUGUUUGGCAUAGGCUUGCCGAAUGGUCUCCAGGGGGUGGCUUGGGGAUGAUAGGGGCUUCAUGCACCAGGACGUUCUUAUAUGUGGUGUUGAGGGUGGUAAAAACCUAGAACCUGGUCCUAGGUGUGAAGGGAAGUAGGGCUCGAUCAGUUGUCUUGGGAGGGUUGCCUCCACUAGAUUGGUGGUGGUUGCCAUGUCUGCCACGUUUGUUAUUGCUGAAGGGAUGCUGGUAGCUAUCCUUCCGUUUUGGUUGUUGGGUACCCUGGGUACUUGGGGCGGGGGUAGAAUGCUGAGAUAGGGCUGAAGCAGGUACUAAAGCAGGUGGAGGAUCGGCAAAAGUGUUAAGCGCCAGGUUGGCUGGGCCACGCUUGGAAUUGAAAUAUUCAGCCUUGGCAUGGACCGCUGCCUGCUUCAUUAGCUCUGUAUAUGUGUUCCAACUGUUGCUAUGAACCAGGUAGCGAAAGUUGGACUCGCGGAGGCCACUCUUGAAAGCCUCGAAGGCAGCGCGAACAUUAGUCUCUGGGCAGCGGGAGUAUUCGUUAAUGAACUGGGCUGCAUACUCCCGAAGGGGUUCGUCCUCAGCCUGCCGAAGCAUAUACAAGUCGUCGGCGGAGUAUAAGAGAUCAGUCUGGAUCAUAAAAUGAUCCAGGAAGGUCUGCUUAAGACUGUCCAAUGAGUUGAUGGUGCGGGGUGGAGCCUAUAGAACCAGUUUAGGGCUGCGCCGCUGAGGCUGGAAGGAAAGAGAAGGCACAUGCCUUCGUCAGUGAGGCCCUUGCACCCAAGGGCAGACUGGAAGGAGUGGAUAUGGGUGAGAGGGUCCUCCGUGCCAAUGUAGAAGGCGAUGCGGAGCGACUGGAUAUCUUUCUCCUGGUGGUAGUGGAGGAUACGUUCAGUAAAGGGCCCCGGUCGUGAUUUUGCCCAGAGGGGUUGAUGGCUACGAUGUUGUUCGCUCUCCAAACGCUGGACCUUUUCAAAGAGAAGCCUCAUGGUCAGGUUGGCAUGAGGGAGAGUCUCGGGUGCCAAAGGCUUGUGGGGUGGGCAGACAGGGGCUGGGGAAUGUUCCCUAUCUUCCAAUGCCUCAGUGUGGUAAGUUGGCCAGGCUUCGGAAUUAUAAAAUUCCCAGCUAUCCGAGUCCCCUACGCCCUCCUCGUCGGGUAACGGGCGGGCCCUGGUAAGGGGCCCAGGUGUGUCACCCGUGGGUCUUCGAGGUUAACAGGAAUAGGGAUCGCCUCUGGUUGACGGUCCGAGAUGCGGUCCCUGCAAUCUCUGUAGAUCCUGACUGGUUCAUGAGGCCGGUCCUUCGAUGGGGGAAUGCAAAGGAGUCGCGACUGGGUUAGCUCCGGAUGAAGGUGGCCUUUACCCUUGCGGAGCCUAGAUUGGGCCGGGGCACUGUGGCUAGAAUGUACUGGCUGGUUUGGUUGGGUAUGCCCAACAUUCUGGGUGAGGUCUUGUUGGGCAUCAUGGGUGUGAGUCCUCUCCCAAUUCCGCUUUAGAGCACGAUAGUCAUGCUCUAGCUCAACAUUCCUGCAAUGAAGAUGCUCAUAUUUCUUCGACAUUUUAGUAAUACUGUCGCGGAGGCGCUCCCCUUCUGCCUGGAGAGUGGCAUCUCCCGAAGAUUUCCUUCGGGAAGUACCAUCGCGGGGGGUAUGGUGCUGGGUAUCGCAGCUAUCCUCGGUCGGCAUAGCAGAGUGUGGGGUGAAGAAGAGGUGACGGGGCCUGAUGGGUGAAGGAGCCAGUUGGGCUGAUAGAGAAAGAGGGGAUUCUAGUGUCGCUUCCUACAGACAGCGCCAAACUGUUGAUGCUCAAAAUGGCCCGGCCAAUAUUGAGUCCAACUUGGUGAUGAGAUGUGUGGGGUCUUCGGCAGUUUAGAAGGCUAAGGUCUUCGAAAAGGGUUGAACCUGCAGAAGACAAAAUGGGAGAAGCGAUCGUCAAGCUUUGGACACCGGUGUGGUGCCGGCCGAAAGCUCUCCGAUGCUUAAGUUAGCUACAAGUGGUAACUUUGACAGAGUAACAGUAAAGGUGAGAAAGUGGUUACCCUUUUUACUUGGGUAUUGUUCCCUAUUUAUAGGGAGGUCAAAGUAGGAGGUUUGCACAAAGUUUCAAUGUGGGACUUUGUGCAAGUCGUCGUGGUGGCGACACGUGUCCUGGAGAUUAGGUUUGGCAAUUGCAAGUUUCGGCAGGUGUUUGGCACCUCGGAAGUGUGUCUUCCUUCGGCAGGGAAGAAGGCGUGGCUGCCUUGGUGCUAGUCGCUUUGAUGUUGGGUCUGCUAGGUUCACUAUGGUGUAAACGAAAAUCGAUCGAAAACAUGCCAGAAGAUCAUAGCUCCAAUCGCAGCUAAACGAACCAGAGCUCCAAAUCUUCAAAGCGAACCAGAGCUCCAGUUUCAAAUCGCGUGUACUUUAAACAUACAGGGGUAAAAAAGUCAUUUACUUUGUAAGUUUUAAAGUUGGGCCAAGCUUUUUAAGAAGAAGGAUAGCAUUGUCUUUUCAGUUGUUAUUUUAAGGUGGGCCAACGAAUCUGGGCCUCCUCUUUGGCCUAAUCCAAAACAACAAUUCAUUCUUAGGUAUUAAAAUCCAAACAAAAAUACUCUCUGUCUCAAAUACUAAUUAGUAAAGAUACUUAUGUUUAAUAUCUAAUUUUGCUUUUAUAUAAGGGUAAAGUGUCGUUUUGCCCCUUGAACUAUAACGCAUUUUGAACCUACCCCCCUGAAUUAUUUUGUUUGUCGAUUUAGCACUUGUUAAAAAUAGCCAAUGUUGCACUCACUGUUAGUUUUUUGAGAAUUUCAUCCACAUACAUGUGAGGGGCACGUGCUUUCGAAUUUUGAGGACAUUUUUGUCAUUUCAAUCACUUUCCAUCUCACCCACACCCAUCUUCUUCAUACCCACCCCUGCCCCAAAUCGUUAUGUUUUGGUUGUAGUGGUCCCCCCGCCCCCCCUUUUUUUUUCUUCUUUUUCUCUGCCAAUUUUUUUUUUUUUCCUUCUAUUCUUCCUCUUUGUUUCCUUAUCUCCUCUCGUUGUUCAAUUUUUUUUUUUUUUGUGACAAUGAGCUUGAGCAGAGGGAGCAAUGGAGGUCUUUGGUUGUUGGGUUUUCGCCUGCGGAGGAGGAGAGUACGGGUUUGGUUGCGAAAAUGAAAACAAUAAAUGGAAUUUGUUUUAUUGUUUAUUUUAAACAAUAAAUGGAAAUACAGAAGGAAGGACUAUAAUUCCCUCAACAAACAAAUCACAUGGGCCCCUAAUCAAUAUUUAGACAGAAGUAUAGAUGAAAUCUCAAGAAAUCUAAUGGUAAGUUCGAUAUUGACUAUUUUAAACAAGAAAAAAAACUAAAUCAACGGAUGAAAUAAUUCAAGGGAGUAAAUUCGAAUUGCCUAAUAAUUAAGGGAGCAAAACGGCUAAAAAUUCUUUAUAUAAUACAUACAAAUGUCAUUAGCAGCAUGCAAAACGAAGAUUUUAUAUGAGCAUUAUUCUUGACUUGAUGCAUUUGCCCAUGGAUUUCUUCUAGCAACCAAAUAUCUAUCUGAUCAUAUCGUAUCAUAUUUUAUGAGACUAUGAUGCAGGCAUGUAAAACGCGGCUUUGACCGUUGACCGAAGUACCAGAGACAAAUUGUAAAGAAAAAUAACCCCAUGCGCAUCAGAGUGAGACAAAAACGUAAUGAGACAACCUCAAGACUCCAAGAACACAUAAUUUUAACCACUAGGUGUACCGUAGGCACAAAUGUACAGAAAAGGCCACCAUUUCUCCUCCUAUGCCAUUAUUUCCCCCGCAAAGCACACGAAAUUACCUUUUUUUAUUUAUUUAUUGGAAGAAACUCAUUGGCAUGCAAUUGGCCUUCUCGUCAAUGAUCACUUGGAAGAAACUCAUUGGCAUGUAUCUAUUAAGCUCCUGUCAGACGCGGCUUUGACCUCCAAGUCGUGACAAUAGAAAUGCAGCAGCUGCUUGACCAAAGCACUUGCAGAUUAUGUGUUCUCGUUAUAGCAAGUGUAUUCUUGCUUGGUUUUAGUGCCUUGUUUCUCUAUAUUCCUUAUGGUUUAGUGUGUAUAACUGGUACAUCAAUUACGAAGAGCCAUCGGAGCCCUGAGAGCCCUGAUAAGCGCGUCCCGUCUGCCUGCGGUAACAUCAACAACAUAAUCAGCCCCUUUCGAAUAGCCAACGAUACAAAUCAAAGCAACUGCACGAACUGGGAUUACUACUACUACAACCUCUAUUGUGACAACAACCUCACAGUAUUGACAAUAAAUCGGGGAAGAUACUAUGUGCAGGCAAUCAACUAUGACAACUUCACAAUCCGAGUUGUAGAUCCUGGCAUUCGCAACAAUGAUUUCUCCUCCAUCCCCCGUUAUUCCCUUUCCAUUUACAACUUAACUUCUCAUCUUCGAUUAGCAUCCAGUACAACACCUAUAACUUUCUUCAAGUGUGCAAAAGCAGUGAACUCGUCUGCGAUGAGUACGUAUAAUUAUGUCAAGCAAGGGACUAUAACGGCAUCAGAUAUGGAGGAUGGGUGCAGAAUAGAGUGGACGACUUUGAUGAGUAAGUCGUUCUUGUACGAAACGGAUAGAAACUUUUCUUAUCAUGACAUACAUAACGCACUGGGGUAUGGCUUUGAGCUUCAAUUCCGCUUUCUCAAGACCAGCUACAAAUUAGGUUUGUGAAUUAUUUGCUAUAUUCCAAGUCUACAAUUUCUUACUCAAACUUUCUGAAUUUCUCCAAAUGUCACUUGUUUAAAUCUAUCAUCUAUGACUUUUUGUUACGCUUUAUUUCUCAUUUUCAAUCAUUUGUUUUGUUUAGUUUUAUUUGAAAUAAGGCGAUACAGGGCUGAAAAUGAGAAAGACAUAUGGAGAAAAUAUGUCAAAUAUUCUUUGAAAAUAAAAAUUCUAAAAAUUUUAAAUAGUUUUAUUACUUGUAUUUUGUCUGCCUAAUUUAAAUUCCCUUCUCUCUUCUUCCUCAUAUGAUGUAGUUUGCUAAUUAGUCUUAGUCAACCAUUAAGCAGAGAAUAUAUAUAUAUAUAUAUAUAUCUGUGUUUCAAAAUUUCAAACUUAUUGUCAAGCCUUUGAUUUUGGUCAUUUUUUCUUGUAUCUCUUGCAGAUAUUGACCUUUUGCUGACAUUCGGUAAGAGUUUGCAUAUUCCUUUCCCUUCUCUCUUCUUCCUCAUAUGAUGUAGUUUGCUAAUUAGUCUUGGUCAACCAUUAAGCAGGAUAGAGUUUAUAUAUAUAUAUAUAUAUAUAUAUCUGUGUUUCGAAAUUUCAAAUUUAUUGUCAAGCCUUUGAUUUUGGUCACUUUUUCUUGUAUCUCUUGCAGGUAUUAAACUUUUGCUGUCAUACGGUAAGAGUUUGCAUAUUCCUUUAGUGCAGAAUUGUAGUCAGUAGAAAAAACAAAUGGAAGCAAAGAGUAAGGUUUUUAAUAUAUUAUAUCCAAUAAAGCAUGUCAUUUGUGAUUCUUUUUGUGAUGUUGCUUUGCAGGAGCAUUUUUCCCAAUAAGAUCUAUAUUUGGGUUUCCAUUUCUGGCUGCUCUUCUAAUCUACAAACAACGAAGAAGGCAUUUGUCAAUGUAUAGCAACAUAGAAGAUUUCCUGCAAAGUGAUAACAACCUCAGUCCGAUAAGGUACUCUUACUUAGAUAUUAAAAAGAUGACCAGUAGAUUCAAUGAGAAGUUGGGUGAAGGAGGUUAUGACUGUAUUUAAAGGAAAGUUACACAGUGGUCGAUUUGUAGCAGUUAAAAUGUUGGAGAAGCCUAAAGCUAAUGGACAAGAUUUCAUAAGUGAGGUAGCUACUAUUGGGAGGAUUCACCAUUUUAAUAUGGUUCAACUUGUUGGUUAUUGUGUUGAGGGAUCAAAGCGUGCCUUAAUUUGUAACUUCAUGCCAAAUGGAUCUCUUGAUAAAUACAUUUAUUGUAAAGAAGGAAGCAAUCCUUUAAGUUGCAUGAAAAUGUAUGAGAUUUCUCUUGGAGUGGCUCAAGGUAUCGAAUAUCUACAUCAAGGUUGUGACAUGCAAAUUCUACAUUUUGACAUCAAGCCUCACAAUAUUCUUUUGGAUGAGAAUUUCAUCCCAAAAAUUUCUGACUUCGGGCUUGCAAAGCUAUAUCCGGUAGGUAAUACCAUCGUCUCUUUGACGGCAGCAAGAGGAACAAUGGGAUACAUGGCUCCUGAGUUGUUUUACAAAAAUAUUGGAGGUGUCUCAU